rnacentral:lncRNA from 1 species
UUAGAGUCGAGACAGAAGAUUUAUACUAAUAAUAAUUCAUUAAUCAGACAAAGGCCAUUGACAUGGCCAUUCCAUCAUUGUAUAAAAUGAGAGACAUAGACAAACAUCGGACAGAUAGACAAGAAAACACACUCAAACUACAACAAAAGACACAAAUUAUUCAACCCAACUUUUAUUCUUUUUAGGUCCCAAACUUCAUCAUUCUAUAUGUCUGCUUAGUGACUGCCACAUGUGCAGUUUGUGCAGCUGCAGCUAGUUCCGCACUUGCACUUGCCAUCGUUCUCUGCCAGAGGCUCGACCAGUACAGUGCUGAUGUAGCUGCACAGAAAUGAAACGACAGGUUAUAUUUAGCAUAUGUGACUGCAACUUUAAACUUAAUUCUCAAUUUUCAACCGUGCAAGCAAUUCCUUUUUUUGCUUCUCUAGGUAAGUAAAUGAUAAAUAAGAGACGAAAGUACUGAUGCAUGCAUGUAGCAGAUCAUGCAUCAGACAAGUUUUUUAUUGCUUGUUUGAAAAAUUCUCAGGGAUGGUUCUGAUGUUAUUUGAUAGCUGCAUGCGAGAAGUUGUGUAUGUUGGUUUGUUUCUUUGCAGAUAUCUGUCUUUGAGGAUCAGAAAAUAUACCUCUCCUCAGUCUCAAUGACCAAGCUGUUUCCUUUCUUCCUGUAAGCAUAGGAAAAAAAAAGCCUUUAGUUUCAAUGAAUAUUGAUUGCAAAUUCAUGCUCUUAGUUACAACAAGCUUAUUAAACAAAGCAGUUAGCUAUGUUUAUCCAUUUCGGAUAUACCGGGUAACAUAGGAUCUCCUUGAGGAAACAUGGGAUCAUAAAUACUUUUGAAAAGCUUUGUCCAGCAUAAUGGUGACAUACAUGCAGUAAUGUGCGGCUAUAAAUCAUGCAGAACUAAAAAAACAACAUAAUCUCAAAUCACACACAACACAAGAAACUGCCGGAAAGUUCCAUCUUGGAUGGAUGAUUAUGGAUUACUUACACGCACUGGCUUUUGUCAGAGCAAUCGCAGUUGCCGCACUUGUCAGCCAUGGUGAAUUUGAGAGAUUUGAGAACUAAAAAGUUUGUUUAGUUUCUAAAGUAGUUAGCUAACUUGCAAUGUAUAUCCAGAGCUUUGCACUUGAUGUAUUUAUAGAUGAGGAAGUACAUUGAAAUGGUGCAAAGGGAAGGCAUCUGUGGGGGCCUCUGGUGGAGUUCAAAGGAAGGGAAUCUUGAUAAAGGAGGUGGGAGAAUGCUAGGCUUGCUAUCCUCCUCUCAUGUCUAUAUCAUUUGGAAUUUUUUCUUUUUAGGAUUGUGUUUGAGAAUUCGGAUUUCAAAAGUAGGAUAAAUUGCGAUAAAAAAUUUCUAAGUUGUGAAUUUGUUACAUACAUAUAUUUGGUACAGAACCAAGCUUUUUAUGACAUGUUUUUAUAUAUUAUUAUAUUGAAUCUACUAAUUUAUAUACCAUGUAUGCAUUUCAUUUAUAUGGUAUGUGAAAUUCAAAUGCUAACGUUCAAAGUUUAUUUUCGAAUAUAUAAGUGAAUUUUUUUUAUCAAGAUUAUUUGGUAGGUAUUUUAUGCUUUGACACACUAGGAAAAGGAUGGUAAUUAAUGGGUUAAAUUUCAACAAAUUUUUAAUAAUUUUAUUUAAAACUAUAUACUGUAACACCCUAAACCCGGCUUAAGAGGUAAGAUCAAAUCUGGAAGAGUUAUAUCAACUUCAAAAAUUGAUUUCAAUAAGUAUCCAGAAAUGUUCAAAGAUUACUCGACUAUUAACGGAAAAUAUUUUCAGAGUUUUAUUUUGUAAAUCGAAAUUUAUUUUGUCGACUUGAGUGAUUUUAUAGUUUUACAUUAAAAAUUAUCAAUUACUGACGAAUUUAGCAAAAAUCAAAAUGAGCUCAGAAACAGAUUGCAACUCACAAGAUCAAACAUUUCUACAUUAUUGCAAAACAAUUUGAGCUCCACAUGUUCGUUCCUCAAUCAGAGAUUUAACUGAACACACAAAGAAAAAACCAAAAGGUGAGCUAUAAAGCCCAAUGUAUAACCAACAUUAGUUAUAGUUAACAAAACAUUGUAUAUAAAUCAAAGUAAACACACUGAACUUAAUAGCAAGUGUAAUAUAACUGAACAAUACAACCCAACCAUAAUAGAACAGAGCAGAACAUAACCGAGCAGAAAAUGGAAGAAGAUGAUAGCAUUAUUUUACUUGUACAUGCUUUUAUUUAUUAUUUUACUAUUUUACCUUUUAAUUAACACUUAAAAAAUAACCAACCCAUGUCCAUCAUUGUCCACCACCAAUAUAAAUGACAUAAUUACCUUAUAGAUCGACCAACUUACAUUUUCAAGACCAUUCAAUCCAUUUAAUUAGUAGAAUUUAACUUUUGUACCUUUUUCAAUUAGUCUUUUUUACCUAAUUAACCAUUUAAAUUUUAAAAUUUCUUAACGAAAAUUUAAUGCAACCCUAAUAUAGCCUUAUAAACAUUAAAUAAACAUUAAAAUUCUAACUCGCUCAUUGAAAUUGUGGUCUUGAAAUCAUUGUUUUCGACACCACUGAAAAUAGGCUGUUACACGGUGGACAUGCUCAUCGAAAAAGGUGGGGUCAUGGUCCAUUGUCACCAUAGUUGGAUUUUCUCUUCUUAAAGAGGAUUCAAAUGUUGAUGCUACCAUUGAAAUAUUCAUGUUGCAAAUAAACCAAAAGAAAGUGUUUUGGACUAAUUAUAGAGAGGUCCCUAACUUUAGUCAAAAGUAAAAAAAUGACACACUAGUAAUUCGUUAGUGAAUUAAUGAAAGUUUUAAUGGAAGUGACCAAUUUGAGCAAUAUUCUUAAUUAGAGUGACUAAAUUGAUAAACAAAUUUUAGGACUAAAAUAGGAACAAAUCUAUUUUAGGGUGACUUGUGUAGUUUACCCAAUUAAAAAUAUAAUGUUAGAAAAAUUUGAAGGAGCCAAAGAUAAAAAAACCUAUUUAAAAAAAAACACUUAAUUUAAUACUUUAUAAUUAAGGCCAAGGUAUUAUACCACUUACUGGGGGUGCUAAGGCUUCUUUUGCCUGCCCCAACUAUACCCCUGAUUUUCAAGUACAUUUUGAGUGGCAGUCAAUUUCAUCAAACUCAUAUGACUAUAUAUAUUUCUUUUUUAAUAUAGUGUUUUCAUUUUUUAUUUUUAAAUGGAAAGAAAAUAUAUUUUUAAUUGUAUUUAAACUCUUAUCAUAAAUAAUGAUACUAAUUAAAUUAAAACUCGGUUAUAUAAAUGGGUUUGACAUCACAUCAUAUAUUCUUUCUUCAUAUCAUAUCAUUAUUUUAUUUCUAAUAAAUAUGAGAUUUAAGUAGCUUUUACAGCAAAAUUUGAUGAAAAUUUACCCCAUAUUUUGUUUUCUCAAAUGUCACUUUCUCAAGAAAUAUUCCAUUUGACAACCAAAAUGGUAGCAUCCAGGUUGGGAAGAUUGAUGGAGAAUUUCACCUUUGCCUCAUUUAAAAAGUAUAAAUUCCUUAUCUUCGUGCAAGUCAUGAAUUCAAAAAAAGUGAAGAGAACAAAUUGAGAAAAAUAAAAUAAAAAAACUAUAUUCUUUUAAGAUUGCUAUCCUCAUUGUAAAAAGUUGAAUAUAUAUAUAUGUAUGUAUAUAGCUAGUAGCAUCAAAUUUUCCCAACCACUCUUAACAAUUAAAUAUAAUUAUUUGGUAUAUUGAAAGUGAAAUUUAAAUUUCCAUGUGAUAUUUAAAAACCGUAACAUGUUCUUAAUUAAUAUUUAUUUAUGAUAUAUAUAAAAAUAUGAAUUUGAAGGAGGGGUGAAUAAAACUCGAUUCGGUUCGAAAAAAUUAAAAAAAUUCAAAUUUUGAAUUAAUCGAUCAAGUUAUUCAAAUUUCGAGUUUGAGUCAAAUUAAAUUUUACAAUUUGAAUAACAGAUUGGUAUAAAUACCCUUUUGGUCCUUAUCAAUUUUGAAAAUGAGUAAAUUGGUCCCUCUCAACAAAACUUACAAAAAAAUUAUAAUAAUUUUCAAAAAUUCAAAAAUUUAUAUUUUUUAAAAAAUUAUAAAUUUUAAAAAAAUUCUAAAGAAUAUAUAAAGAAAGUUAAAAUUUUAAAUUUUCUAAAAUAAUAAAUUUGAGAUCUAAAUAAGUUAAUUAAUAGGUCGAGUUUAUCAUAUUAAAGUAUCUUUUUUUUUUCUUUGCUUUGAAAAAGUUUUCAUAUAUAUAUAUGGUUUCAAAUUUACGUGCUCUAACAUGGAAUUAAUUAUAUUGUAACAAUAUUUUAAUUUGCCAUGUUUAAUUUUUUUAAUUUAACUCGAACAAUUUUACUCGAUUUGAUUCGACUCAACUCGAAUUUCAUUUCACUCAACUUGAUUAAAAAAAUUCAAAUCAAGUUAAGAUGAUAAAAUAAGACUCGUCAAUUCGAUUAACUCGAAAUUUUUUCACUCGAUUCCAUCAAAUGCUCACUCCUAAUUUGAAGAAUCUUUUGAACUGACGACGAUACUUUUUAUUAUUAAUUGUACUACUAAAUUGACAUUAAAAAUAAUUUAUUAGUAUCUUUUUCUGGUAAAUAAUAAUGAAUAUUAAUGUGAUAAUAAUGAAAGUAAUAUUAAUUAAUAGAAGAGUAUAUUAAUGUGAAAUUAAAUAAUUUGAGUAUAUCUUUUAAAAGUUCAUAAAAAGAUGACAUAUAUUAUUAAUUAAUAAAAUUUUUAAAUCUAUAAAAUAAAUGAAUGUAAUUAGAUAAAUUAAAAAUAAAAAAUAAAAGUUUUUAAUUAAAUAGAUAUAAUUUUUAUAUAUAAAUAUGAAAAUAAUUAAUCAUGUUAAAAUCAAUUUUUUAUAAUUAAUAAAAAAUAAAUCUAUAAAUAUGAUUUUAUUUUCAAUAUGGUAAUAAUUAUUUUAUUAAUAAUGCUUUCAUUAUUAGUGUAAUAGUUAUUAUCACUUAAUUAUACUUUGAAUCCAUAUUAAAUUACGCUUAUUAUUUUAGAUUAUCAUUUUACUUGUGUUACAAUUAUAUGCCAAUUAAAAUUAAUAUUUAGCACUAUAAAUAUAUUCAUUAGUAAAAUAUUUUCAUUCAAAUAACAUCUAAAGAAUUACUCGAAAAAUCAUAUUUUAGGAUUUUAUUUGCAUCACAAAAAUGUAUGAUUAUUAUUAUUUUAUAAGAUUAGUUGUUUUUAACUGUUAUUUGAUUUUAAUAACACUUAUUCUAACGAUCUAUAGAAUAAUUACUUUUUUUUCUUACUAAACUUAGUUUUUUUUUUGAAAUAUUUCAAUAUAGGUUUUGAUCAUAUUUGUUCAUUUUGACACAAUACUUAGAAUUACCUAUAACCCAUCCCUAACCCAUGAAUAGGAGGAUAAUGCGUUUCAGCCUACACGAAUUCACGUUCUCCUACAUUGACAACAAUACCCAUAUCAAUCAAAUUAACACUCAAUCGACACCAAAUUUUAAUUUUUUAAUUUAUUAUUAAUUUAAAAUUUCGUAUCACCUAAAUAAAAGGAGUGGGUUUGGAAAGAGUUACAAAAUAAAGCAAAUGGAAAUAAAAUCAAAGUUUGAAAAAAAUGGCUUGGAAGGUACAACUUGUGCUCUAUCUAUUUCCCUUUUUGUGUGGAAUUCCACUUAUUUAAUCAAUUAUCUCAAAAAGGUAGAAUUACAAAAUUCACCUCUAAUGUUUGUGUGUUUUUCACUUUGGCUCUUAACUCUUUUUUUUUUCCUUCACUUUCCCACCCAUAGUGUUGCAAACAAUUUCAAGUAAGAUCAAACUUAAUGAAAAUCGUCAAGCUAUAUCAACAAAUAUUUUUGUCCAACGUGGCAACACCUUAGUUGAUGACACAAAAUUUUUAGUUUAAAAUUAUGAAAAUUUAAAAAGAAGAGAAAAAUUUUAAAAUGUAAAAGCAAUUUUCUUCUACCUCCUCCCCCAAAAAAGAAAAAGAGAACUUAAGAGCUCUCCCUUUUUCUUCUUCACCACAUCGUUGUUGCUUCUUAUCUCACUCCAAUAUCAUGCUCAAUUGAGUAAUCAAAUAAUCACGAAAGAGAUUUUAGCAAAUACAGAAGAAGUCUUUGAUGGCAUUGAUAACAAGCAAGAAUAAGUCAAUGGACUAAAUUCUUUAAAAUAAAAGACCAAAUUUUAAAUUUAUUAAAAAUACAGAUAUCUAUGGAAUAUUCUAGCCAUUUUAAAAAUAUAUUAUAUCAGUUUCAAAACUAGUUUAAAUUAAUGACUCAAAUUAAGCAAUAAAUUUUUAAUUUAGAUUUUUCUUUACGGGAAAUUGUCAUUUUCCUUUUGAAAAAAAAAAUUAAAAUUCACACUUGACUUUCCUUCUAGACUUCUUGCCCAUUUGAACUGGUCGCAUAAAUCAUGGAGAUUGCUAUUUUUUGUUAUUUCAUUGUUGAAAUUAUUUAUCUUUGUGUUAGUGUUUUAAUAAAAACACUUAAUGAUAUUAUCUAAUUAGAUUUUUUUUUUUUGAAAAACCUAGUUAAACUAAAUAAACAUAAUAAUACUAUAACUAUCGACUUCUCCUAAUGAUUGCAUAGAUUUCUCAUUUGGUUCUGUGGACGGGUCCCACCUUAGUGUUGUACUGUUUUGCCUAGCAUACUGAUAUUUUAAUGAUUUCUGUUAAAUACCAUAAUAAACUUUGGAAGACAAAUAAGUUCCUAUUCUUCCAUAAACGCCACACUACCAAUCCAAAGAGAUAUGUAAUACCCCAAACCCGUCUUAGAGGUUAUGACAAGAUCUUAAGGACUUACAUUAACUUGUUUGAGAACUUCCAAUUUAAUCAAACUUAGUGUGCGUUUCGAAAACACAAAAUUUGGAAAGUCUCACAAAUAUUUUAGUAAAACUUAAAUCCAGAAUCACUUAUCUCAAACCCAGAAUUUGAAAUUGAAAUCAUGAGUUUUAAAAAUACUAAUGUUGGCAGAUUACUUCUAAAAAUAAGGCAAACAUUCGUUGGUAUGACACUCAUAAUUAUGCAACUGAGCUGUUGGACAGAUAUUGCGGUUUAAUCACCAAAAUUGUAGUAAAACUGCCAGAAAACACUUUCUCCAUCAUAUCAAAACCUACCCCAGUGCACAUGCCCAAUCAUAAUAACAUACGUACAUAUCACAUGAAUGGUAUGUCAUGCAUACCUAAACAUAUUUUUACAAACCAUACAUAUCAAAUUGCUUCUACUAACAGUUACUCUACAUACAUAUGUCAUGCAUGUUUUUACACGUAAUUGUGCUUUCAAUGUUAUCAGAACAUAUAUCGUACAUAAGUUUUUCACUUACCUUAACUAUAUUGCAUAUUGUCAAAUAUCACAUUUCAAGUCUUAUUUAAGCCAAACGGACCCCACGAAAGGUCUAAUUACACAUUUCUAAGUCAAACGGGCCAAGUGAAAAUUUCUGAAAAAUUGGACCACACGGCUUACUUGACCUGCCCACGUGAUCACACAUGCCCGCGUGCCCAUACAACCUAACAAAAUUGCUCGUGUACUCCACACACCUAGCCACACGACCUUGUGACAUAGAGCAGUUUUGAAAACAACCUCUGUUUUCAAGUUUUUCCAAGUUUUAAAUGACGUUUCGAGUUAGAAUCACACACUUGAUGUUAUUUCUAAGUAACCACACAAUAACGCACUCUGAAUCCUACAUACGAUACCAAAACACAUCAAUUAACAAACAUAAAUUAACCCAAUAUUUCACUUUAAAUUCAAUCAUUUUCCAAAAGAAAAAUAGUCCCUUCAAUAAUAUACGAGCACUUACCCCAAAACAAUGACUUAACAACAACCUUUAAUCGUGCCUAACUCGCCGGAGGACCAUUGUUCGUCUCAUAAUACUCUCCUAACAACUCAUUAACAGUUAAAUUAAGUACUAGAACCUCACAUGUAAAAACAAACACCCCUUACAAAUAAGAGUUAAUAAUUGAAUAUUACAACGCCAACUAUCGAAACAAAAAGUCAUUCACUUACCCGACACAAGAAGGAUUCGAUCAAUGAAAACUCACCACACCGACACAAAUUAAAUCAACAAAAGAGAAAAAAGAAGACAAAAAAAAAUCAAACAUAAUAGCAAUUUUGGUGAAAAAGAUAAAAUGGAGAAGAUGGAAACUGGAAUCAAAAGAGUGAAAAAAAAGAAAUUGGGAAAAAUGAAAAAGAUGGGACGAUUGACUAGGGAAAGGGAGAGAAAGAGUGUGGGAAAAUUUUAGGAGAUAAUCUCUCAUUUUCUUUUUCUUUUUUUCUUUAAAACUACCCACUCCCACUAACUCCUAUAAUUAUUCAUUCUUUUCUUUAGAAUUUAAAAUAAAAAUAAACUUCACUUUACACAUAUGAGGUUUGAACACAAAAUCAAAGGUAAGCUAACACAUUACCACUAAAAAUAGUAGACUCAUUCUUUUAUUAGUUGAGCAAAAAUAAUAUUUAAACCUAAAGUUCAAAAAUAGGGGUUUGGACAAAAAUUAACAAAAUUUAAGGAAAAGUAUUCGAACCUAAAACCUCACACACAUAAGCAACGUUUAACCACGAAACCAAAUUAACUCACUUUAACAUAAUUUCCAUAACCUUAACUAAAAAAAUGACGUGACCACUCAUUGUUUCACUAACCCAAUUUCUUUUAACUCGAUUUUUGGGAUGUGACAUAAUACAGGCGGGUUAGGUCAGAAUUUUAGCAUUUUUAUCCGGACCAGGCUUAGGCAAAAAUUUAGGCCUAUUUUUCGAACUGGGUAGGGCCUAACUCGAUGUGACGCCCUGAAUAAUUUAAUUUUGUUUCUGUGAAACUUAUCACAAAUAUGUAUCUACUUUAGUGGUUAAGUGUUCUAGGUGUGUGUAUGAGGUCUUGGGUUCAAGUCCCGUAUUUGGAAAUUUUGUUAUUUUUUAUCCAAGCCUUAUCCCUAUUGGGUGGGUUUAUAUAAAAUUGUCUGUUAAUCCUUAUUAGAAUAAGCCUACUGGUUUGAGUGGUAAGGAGUUAGCUUGCUGGAAGUUUUCUGUUCAAAUCCCUGCGUAAGAAUAAGUGUUUAUUUUUGUUUUAGUUGUCUAAGAGAGAGUUCGAAUGAGUUUGGGAGUCUAUGUAUGUGGAUGAGAGAAUGGGUAGUUAAGAUUGGGUUAGUAGGAGAUCAUGCCUAGAUUUUGGGGGGAUAUUAUUUGAUUUUAUUUUUAUUUUUAUCAAAAAUUUGUUUAUCUCUCUUUCAAAAAAAUUUUGACGCCAGUUGUGCUCCCCUUUUCUCUUGAAUUUGAUUUUUCUUCGGUUUUUUCCUUUCCAUUCUCUUUGUUUUUGGUGGUGAAUUUUUCAUUCAAUCAUUGUUGUUGGGAUUUCGGGUUCUCUAUUAUGAUUUGGCAAGUAGAGUUUUACUCGUUGUUAAUGUUUAGUUUUUGGAGAUGUUGGCGAUGUUUAAUCGUAGUUGUGUUCACUGAUGGAAUUUGUGUUUAGGUGAAGGUGGUGAGGUAGGAAACUUCACUUCAACAGCUUAGUACGUGUUAGUGGGGGUUUUUCAUUGGCGGUAAGUUCUUGGACAUUGUUGAAUUCUAUCGUGAAUUUGUAUUAUGAUUAUUAAGUCAGUGUUUGGGGUGCUGGUUUUUAGGUUUGAAAGGGCUUGGGAUUACUUUCGAAUAAAAAAUAAACCAAGUGUGUACUUCUAACACGAAAAGUUGAGCUUCGACAAAAGCCAAAAAUAUAAUUUGUCGAUGCCACAUUGGCGUGUGGCUAGCCUUGUGGUUGACCAUGUAUUAGACACGACUGUAUGUUUGACGAAGACGUGGCCGUGUGCAAGACACGGGCGUGUGACGAUGUGAGUGUGGCCGUGUGGGCCAUACGGGCUAGGCCAGAUUGGGCGUGUAGAACACACGGGCGUGUGGGCUACACAGGUAAGGCCAAUUUGGGCGUGUGGGCCCACACAAAUAUGUGGACCCCAAAUUUUAAAAUUCUCCCUAGAGUCACACGAGUCGUUCCGAUCAACUAUGACCCUACUGUAGGGUCGGUAAGGGUUAACCAAACCUUAAUUAAUGUGAACUGAUAUUCUGAUAGUCUGACUUGAGUAGGACACUGAUAAAUAUGUAGGACUGUCCUGUUUGGGUAUAUAUAUGAUAUCUGUAUACGAGCAUGUUAAGUAUGUUAACUCUGUUAAUACUGUAUUAUGUAUCUGUGUUUGGGGUGGGAUUUAUAUUUGAAGACGAAGUGAUCUGUAUGGUAACUUUUCGUCUAUAUUCUGGCAGCUUGACUAUAUAUCAUCUAUCAUGUGUCGCUGCGACACUAUAUGGUGUGUAGGGAUGGGUGGGUGUUUUUAACCCUACAUGGCGUGAUGGUAUGGUCGGAGAUGGUGUAUAGAGAAUGGGGGUAGGAAUCUGUAUAUCUGUUCUGUUUAUCUGAUUCUGAUAUAUACAUUUGUUAUGGACUUAGGUCUAAAUCUAUAUAUGAUUGCAUAUGAUAUACUGUGUAUGAUGUAUGACUAUUUUCGUUGGGUUACACACUAAGUUUACAAGAACUCACAUCUGUUUGUCUGUUUUGUUAAGGUUAUCCUCGAAUUUAGGCAGGUUGGUGCGACGGAGGUUCAACGGUGACCACUCUAUCGAGAUCUAUUUUUAUUUAGUAAAAAUGGUUUAUUUUAGAAAUCUAGUUUUCUUAAGAAUUUGUAAAUUUUGGGAUUCUCUGGAUUGUUUUGUUUAACUUUUGAAUUUUGGAUUUCGUUAUUGCUUUCUUUUUCGCAAUGCCAACAAAACACUUUAUGCAAAUAAAUAGGUUUUUGGAAUCACGAGCUUGGUUUUAGUUUUAAAAGAAUUUUCAAACUUUUUUUCGAAAUAAAUAAUUAACUUUAAGGAACAUCAUACAACGAUUUCUGUAAUGAAUAUAUUUUAUAAUACUUAGACGCUUUAUCAAAUAACUAAAAAUAGUUUUAUCAAAGUAUCAUCGGUUUUAAAACCCUUCUUCGUAGCACUCCUAGAUUUGAUAAUAACGUCUAGGUUGGAUUUAAGGUGUUAUAUUUUAGUGGUAUCAGAGCCAAGUUAAAAAACUUAGGCUGUAAAUUUUGGGUUUCAAAAUUUCAUUUGAAAAAGACUAGUUUCAAGCAAAAUUUAUUUUAUCCUAAAUGAGUAUAUGGUACACCGAGUCUCCGACGUCAAUCCUGUAAGUAUAUCUGAAUUUAGAAAAUACUGUAGUUCUUUUUAAAACUGUACUGAGUUAGUUAGAGGCUAAAACCUUUGAAAUACUUCUAAACUUCUGAUAAUUUAAGCAUAAAAUAUCUGCUAAUAAACACUGAAACUAAUGCAUAAAAUUCUAUAAUGUAGAUAAAACUGAAAAUACGAUGAGCGCUCAUGGAAGUCGUAGUCCUGGUAUUCGUAGGCGCGGCAGGCGCCGUAGGAGGCUCGAGCUGGAUCUUCUUCUCUAGGUAGUAUGUCGAAUUUAGACACGAGUGAGACACCGGUUUCACUUGCUACUGAGACUGGGUCUCAAAGCCGCUCGCUAGGGACGACACACUGUCUCAAGCCAUGUUGAAGGUGUUGGAGAGGGUUGUUGGACCUAUUCUAAAUCUGAGGGUUGUAGGUCGUUAACUGAACGACUCCGGUCCAAUAGAGCUGAGCUGUUUAGGGGCAUCACUAGAGUCGCCCCUACUAUAAUUGAGUAUUGGUUAGAAACUAACGAAAGGAUUAUGAACGACAUCAACUAAACUCCUGAACAGAAAUUAAAGGGUAUGGUUUCUUUACUUCGCUAUAAGGCUUAUCAAUGAUGGUUGCCAAUUGAAGAGGCUACUCAAUCAGAUCGUCUGAACUGAGACUAUUUUAAGACUGCCUUAUAGAGAAAAUAUGUGGGCGUGAGCUAUGUUGAUGUUCGUAAGCGUGAGUUCUUAAAUCUCACGCAAGGUGAUAAGUUUGUGGUCGAGUAUGAGGCUGAGUUUCUGAGAUUGAGUCGCUACGUUCGUGGCAUUGUGGCAUCAGAGUAUGAGAAAUGUGUCUAUUUUGAGGACAGUUUGAGAUACAUUUUGAGGGUUUUGAUUACUCUGCAGAGGGAGCGUGAGAUCGUUAUUCUGGUGGAUAAAAUGAAGAUCACCGAAGAGGUUAAGCGUGGAAGCGCCAGAAUAGAGACCGUGAAAGGUAAGAAUAAGAGGGAUUCGAAGCCCUCUAGUUCUAUUCAGAGGCCUAAGAAAUGGGCCAGACUUGAUGGGCCUAUUAGAGUUGGAGUUCAUGUUGCUCCUACUGGGAUUUAGCCUUGUGGUGAUUGUGGUAGGCCCUAUCCGAGCGAUUGUUGGAGAAGAUUAGGGGUUUGUCUGCGGUAUGAGUGUUUGGAGCAUCGGAUUAGAGAAUGUCCACAUCGUGCUGACAGAUGCAAGUUUCAAGACCAAGUUCUAUUCAGUUUAAAGGGUAGUACAACAGCCACCUAAGGGUCGUGGAUCGGCUAGAGGUGAUAAUGGUAUGGGCCGAUGACAGAGAGCACCGGGUAGAGGUACUAAUCAGAUUGAGGUGAGGUAGCUUGCACUGGUUUAUACUACUCAAUGUCGAGAGGACAGAGAUGCCUUUGAUGUGAUCACAGGUACAUUUUUUUAUUUUUGAUGCUCCAUAUACUACCUUGAUAGACAUAAGUUUUACACACUCUUGUAUAGCUAGUUCUGUUUCCAAUAACUUAGGAAUUUCUAUUGAGUGUACUUCUAGUGAGAUUACUGUACUGAGUCCGUUGGGGCAAUCUGUUUGAUUUAAUAAACUAUAUAGGAAUGUUCUAUUAGAGGUACAAGGGGAUGUGUUUCUGAAAAAUUUGAUGGACCUACCGUUUGGGGAGUUCGACUUAAUUCUGGGUAUAGACUAGUUAGUUGAGCAUCGAGUUAGCUUGGAUUAUGCGACUAAAAGGGUCGUUCUAAGGAUCGAAGAUGAUAAGGAGGUGGUUGAGAUUGGCGAGCAUCAAGAAUACCUGUAUAAUGUAAUUUUUGCUCUAGUGGCUAAGAAAUUAGUUCAAAAAGAGUGUGAGGCGUAUUAGGCUUACAUUAGUGUUUCAGUUUUUAGAGACUUUUCUAUUAGGGAUAUCAGAAUAGUGAGGGAAUUUUUGGAUUUUUUUCUGAGAAAUUACCGGGUUUACCUCCAAAUCGAGAAGUUAAGUUCGACAUUGAGCUUCUACCAAGUACAGCUCUGGUGUCUAUCACUCCAUACUGUAUGGCACCGAAAGAGCAUACAGAGCUUAAAGCUCAACUUCAAGAGCUUUUGGAUCGUAGUUUCAUCCAUCUUAGGGUGUCUUCGUGGGGGGGCAUCGGUUCUAUUUGUGAAGAAAAAUGAUGGUACCAUGAGGAUGUGUAUCAACUAGCGACAGUUAAAUAAUCUAACUGUGAAGAAUAAGCACCCACUUUUGAAAAUCGACGACCUGUUUGAUCAAUUUCAUGGGGAUGCAGUAUUUUUAAAAUAGAUAUUCGUUCUAAGUAUCAUCAGCUUAAGGUUAAGGAAGCUAAUAUUCAUAAGACGUAAUUUAUAACUCGUUAUGGGCACUACGAGUUCCUAGUUAUGCCCUUUGGUCUUACGAAUGCUCUGGCUAUAUUCAUAGAUCUGAUGAAUUGAGUUUUUUAGCUGUAUUUAGAUCAUUUCAUCGUGGUUUUCAUCGACGAUAUUCUGGUGUACUCUAAGACUAAAAAUGAGCAUGAUGAGCAUCUUAGAGUAGUGUUUCAGAUACUCUAAGAGAAACAACUCUACACUAAGUUGAGUAAAUGUGAGUUCUGGUUGUGAAAGGUAACUUUUCUAGGGCUUGUAGUUUCUACUGAGAGGAUCUGAGUUGAUUCUAGGAAGAUUGAGGCUGGGCUUGGUUUGAAACAGCCUAAGAACGUAGCUGAGAUCCGUAAUUUUCUAGGUCUUGCGGGUUAUUAUCGACAGUUUACUGAGAGGUUCUCAUUGAUUGUAACUCUUCUAGCUAAGCAUCUGCGCAAGAAUUUUCCUUCUGGACUGAUGCUCAAUAAUCAAGGUUCGAGAAGCUCAAGUCUGUUCUGACUUAGGCUCCUAUUUUGAUACAGCUUGAAUCUGGUAAAAAGUUUGUAGCUUACAGUGAUGCGUCACACUUCGGUUUGGAAUGUGUGUUGAUGUAAGAUGACAAGGUUGUGGCUUAUACGUCCCAUCAACUUAAGCCACACGAGGGGAAUUAUUAGACGCACGAUCUCGAGUUAGCUAUCGUAGUAUUUGCUUUAAAGAUUUGGAGGCAUUAUCUAUACGGUGAGAGGUGUAUCAUCUAUACUGAUCACAGAAGCCUCAAAUACCUCAUUACUCAGAAAGAGUUGAAUCUUAGGCAGUGUAUAUGGAUUGAGCUGCUUAAUGAUUAUGACUGUACUAGAGAGCAUCAUCCUGGUAAGGCCAAUAUGGUGGCUGAUGCUCUCAGUCGUAAAGCGAUGACUGAUUUGAGGGUAAUAUUCGCUCGUUUCAGUUCGUUUGAUGAUGAAUGUCUGUUAGCUGAGUUACAAGUUAAGCCGACUUGGAUUGAUCAGAUUCGAGAUAAGCAAUUAAGGGAUGAUUCUCUGGUUCUACGAUUUCGUCAGGUUGAGAUCAGCAGUACGCCUGAUUUUAGACUGAAUAAAUUUAAGGUUUUGUGUUUCUAAAGUCAGGUUUGUGUAUCAAAUAAUUUUAAUAUGAGACAGUCGAUUCUGAAAGAAGCGCAUAGCAACCCCUAUGUUAUGUAUCCCGGUGGUAAUAAGAUGUAUCAGGAUCUUUGUAAGUUGUACUAGUUGUUAGGUUUAAAAUGAAUGGUAACAGAUUUUGUUGCUUAUUGUCUAACGUGCCAGCAAGUUAAGGCUGAGCACCAAUUACCUUCGAGUUUGCUCCAACCCAUUAAGAUUCCCUUUUAGAAAUAGAAACGAGUGACGACAGACUUCGUUAGUGGGUUACCUUUAACACCCACUAAGAAAAAUUAUGUUUGGGUCAUCAUGGAUUGAUUGACCAAGUCCGUCUAUUUUAUUCUGAUCCUAACAGACUAUUCUCUGUAGAACUUAGCAAAACUCUACAUCUCUAAGAUUGUAAGACUGCAUAGGGUUCCAGUUUUGAUAAUUUCUAAUAGGAAUUCUAACUUUACUUUUCGGUUCUGGAAGAAACUAUAUGAAGCUCUGGGUUCGAGAUUGGACUUUAGUACAGUGUUCUAUCCUCAAACUGAUGGUCAGUUUGAGAGGGUAAUUCAGAUAUUGGAGGAUAUGUUUCAGAGUUGUGUGAUUGAUUUCCGAGGUAGUUGGGAAGACUUUCUGCCAUUAGCUGAGCUUGUCAAUAAUAACAAUUUUCAGUCUAGCAUCCAUAUGGAUGAGUUGUGUGAUUGAUUCUCGAGGUAUGGUCGUAAGUUUCAUACUCUGCUUUGUUGGACUAAGUUGGGUGAGCGACGAAUUUUGGGUUCUAAGUUGAUUUCUAAGACUAAAGGUAAGGUUAGACUAGCUCGGGAUUAUCUGAAGGCGGCUUCUGAUAGACAAAAGUCCUAUACAAAUUUGAAAAUCAGGGAUAUCGAGUACCCUGUAGGUGACUUCGUAUUUCUUAAGGUAUCUCUGUGGAAGAAAGUUCUGAGGUUCGGUCGUAAAGGCAAGUUAAGCCCUAAGUUCAUUAGGUUGUAUCGGUUUUUGUGACACGUGGGACCAUUUGCUUAUCAGUUAGAGUUACAUCCAGAGUUAGACCAUAUCCAUGAUGUAUUUCACGUCUCGAUGUUGAGGCGGCACUGAUCUGACCCAUCUCACAUUUCUCUGUUGAAGAGAUCGAGGUUAGAUCAGACUUGACCUUUCAGGAAAAGCAGGUUCAAAUUUUGGAUCGAGAUAUUAAGGUUCUGAAGAGGAAGUCCAUUCCUUUUAAUUAAGGUUUUGUGGCGGAAUCAUGGUUAUAAGGAAGCCAUGUGGGAACCUAAGGACUUGAUGCAUUAGCAGUGUCCUCAUUUGUUCAGAUCAGGUAAAUUUCGAAGCUGAAAUUUCUUUUAAGGGGGUAGACUUGUAACGCCUUGAAUAAUUUAAAUUUGUUUCUGUGAAACUUGCUUCAGUAGUUAAGUGUUCUAGGUGUGUAUAUAAUGUAUUAGGGUUCAAGUCCAACAUUUGGAAAUUCUAUUAUUUUUUAUCCAAGCCUUAUCCCUAUUAGGUAGGUUUAUAUAAAAUUGUCUAUUAAUCCAUAUUAGAAUAAGCCUGUUGGUUUGAGUAGUAAAGAGUUAGCUUGCUAGAUGUCUUGUAUUCGAAUCCCUACAUGCGCGUAGAUGUUUAUUUUUGUCUCGAUUGUCUAAAAGAGAGUUCGAAUUGGUUUGGAAAUCUGUGUAAGUGGAUGAGAAAGUGGGUAGUUGAGAUUGUGUUAGUAGGAGAUCAUGCCAAGAUUUGGAGAGAUAUUAUUUGAUUUUAUUUUUUAUUUUUAUCAAAAAUGUUUCUAUCUCUUUCAAAAAAAUUCUGACGUCAGUUGUGCUCCCCUUUUCUCCGCACUUUCAUUUUCCUUCAAUUUUUUCUUUUCCAUUCUCUUUGGUUUUGGUGGUGAAUUCUUCGUUCAAUCGUUGCUGCUUAAAUUUCGAGUUCUCUAUUUUGAUUUGGUAAGUAGAGUUUUACUUGUUAUUAAGAUUUUGUUUUUUGGAGAUGUUGGCGAUGUUUAAUCGUAGUUGUUAACUGAUGGAAUCUGUGUUUAGGUGAACGUGGUAAGGCAAGAAACUUUACUUCAACGGCUUAGUACGCGUUAGCGGGGGUUUUUCGUUGGCAGUAAGUUCUUGGACAUUGUUGAAUUAUGUCGUGAAUUUGCAUUCUGAUUAUUAAGUUGGUGUUUGGGCUAUUGGUUUUUAAGUUUAAAAGGGCUCGGGAUUACUUUCGCAUAAAAAAUGAACCAGGUGUGUACUUCUAACAUGAAAAAUUGAGCUUCAGUAAAAGCUAAAAAUACAGAUUGUAGACGCCACACAGGCGUGUGGCCAACUGUGUGGUUAGUCGUGUCUUGCACACGACCGUGUGUUUGACAAAAAUGUGGUUGUGCACAAGACACGGGUGCGUGACGAUAUGAGUGUGGCCGUGUGGACCACACGGGCUAGGCCAGAUUGGGUGUGUGGGCCACACGAGCAAGGCCAAUCUGGAUGUGUGGGCCCACACAUUCUAAAAUUUUCCCUAAGGUCGCAUGGGUCGUUUCGAUCGACUGUAGGCCUACUGUAAGGUCCGUAAGGGUUAACCAAACCCUAAUUCAUGUGAACUGAUAUUCUGAUAGUUUGAUUUGCGUAGGACAUUGAUAAGUAUGUAAGGUUGUUCUGUUUGGGUACAUAUAUAUAUAUAUAUGAUAUUUGUAUACGAGCAUGUUAAGCAUGAUAACUCCGUUAAUACUUUAUUCUCUAUCUGUGUUUGGGGUGGGAUUUGUAUUUGUGGAGGAAGUGAUCUGUACAGCAACCUUUCGCCUAUAUUCUGACAGCUUGACUGAAUAUUAUCUAUUAUGUGUCGUAGCGACACUAUAUGAUGUGUAAGGAUGGGUGGGUGUUUUUAACCCCACAUGAUGUGAUGGGAUGGUCAGAGAUGAUGUGUAAAGGAUAGGGGUAAGAAUCUAUAUAUCUAUUUUGUUUAUCUAAUUUUGAUAUAUGCAGUUGUUAUUGACUUAGGUUCGAAUCUAUAUCUGAUUGUAUAUGAUAUAUUGUGUAUGCUUUAGCCUUGUUUUGAAAGAUGCAUAUAAGUCCGUUUUAGUCUCGUUUCUAAUUUUUUUUUAUUUUUGAUAUCAUUACAACUAGGUCUAGCUAACUCGUACCUUCAAUUUUAAAAUUGUUAAAUAUUUUGAAUGUUUUCAUUGAUGAAUAUAGUGAUUUUUUAUGUUAAAAGAUGAAUUUGAAAUAUUAAUUGUUAUUUAAAAGUAUUUUGUUAAGUGAUUUUUGAUGAAUUUAUCGAUUAGAGACUAAAUUAUUAAAAUAGUAAAAAUACAAGUAUUUGAUGUGAAAUUAUUAUAAAUGUGGGUUACUUUGGGUGUCAUGAAUAUCCGAAUAAUAUGAAUUGACAAUAAAAAUUGUUAAUUUGCAUGUUUUAGGCUUAGAGACUAAAUUGAAUCAAAGUAAAAUGUUAAGGGUAAUUUUGUAAAAAAUGUCAAAAAAGGCUCAAUUUCAUAAAAUAAAUUGUUUUAUUAUCUAAAUUAAUAAAUUGAAUGAAAUUAUUAACUCAUAUUAAGAUCAAGUGGAAAAUCGAGGAGAAUAAAAAUUACAAAAAUGCCCCUGCACUUUGACAUUUCUGCAAUUUAGCCAGGUAAGUUCACAUGGUUUAGAAUUUAAUAUCAAUAUGAAUUGUUGAGUAGAUUAACAUGGAACAACAUAUAUAUAUAUAUAUAUUUAAUUGUUGAUAAUGAAUGGUAAUUUGAGAUAUGUUAUUGAAUUUGAUGCUCGAUUUGGAUUGAAUGCGAGAUAGAGUUCAAUUGUGAUUUGGUGUGUUACGGGGGUUUGGAGUGGAGAUGAUAUUGGAGGGAGAUAUUUGCAUAUUACCCAAGUAAAUCGAGGUUCAACAUUUGUUGCGAACUCUCGUGUUAUACUCUCUGUCUGGUGUGUUUCGGUUGGAUUAGCUCCUAUGAGCUUCUGUCUAGUGUGUUUCAGUUGGAUUAGCUCCUUUGAGCUUCUGUCUGGUGUGUUUUGGUUGGAUUAGCUCUUAUGAGAUUCUGUCUGGUGUGUUUCGGUUGGACUAGCUCUUAUGAGCAUCUGGUGUGUUUUAGUUGAUCUGACAAUGUACUCUUAUCUGUAAGUCGUUCUUCGAAUUGAAAUUUCGGUAAGGUAAUGGGUUAAAUGAAUUCGAUGAAUUUGCUAUUCAUUUGAGUAUUCAAAUGAUUUAUAUCAUGAAAACUAUGAAACAGGAAUGGAAAGAAAAUGUUAAAUGAAUGUAUGUCUAUGUUCAUGAAAUUGAUGAUUUCAAGUGAGGUUAUUCAUGUUUAAUGACUUAUCUUAUGUCAAUUCAAGUGAAUUAUGAAUUGAUGCACUAACAUGUGUUGUUGAUCAUGCUUAGGCUUGUGCCAAGCUAUUGGUUGGAUUAUAUUAUGUUUACUUUUAAAGUUUUUGGAGAUAUUGGCAAUGUUUAAUCGUAGUUGUUAACUGAUGGAAUCUGUGUUUGGUUGAAGGUGGUAAGGUAAGAAACUUUACUUCAAUAGCUUAGUAUACGUUAGCGGGGGUUUUUUGUUGGCGGUAAGUUCUUGGAUAUUGUUGAAUUUUAUCUUAAAUUUGCAUCCUAAUUAUUAAGUCGGUGUUUGGGAUAUUGGUUUUCAGGUUUAGAAGGGCUCGAGAUUACUUUCGCAUAAAAAAUGAACCAGAUGUGUACUUCUAACAUGAAAAAUUAAGCUUUAAUAACAGCCAAAAAUACAGUUUGUAGACUCUACACAAGCGUGUGGUCGGCCAUGUGGUUGGCCGUGUGGUUGGCCAUGUCUUGCACACUGUCGUGUGUCUGACAAAGGCGUGGCUAUGCGCGAGACAAGGGCAUGUCAUGAUGUGAGCAUGGCUGUGUGGGCCGCACCGGCUAGGCCAAAUUGGGCGGGUGGGCCAAAAGGGCAAGGCCAAUCUGAGAAUGUGGGCCCAUAAUUCUAAAAUUUUCCCUAAGGUCACAUGGGUCUUUCCGAUCGACUGUAGGCCUACUGUAGGGUCCGUAAGGGUUAACCAAACCCUAAUUCAUGUGAACUGAUAUUCUGAUAGUUUGAUUUGAGUAGGACACUGAUAAGUAUGUAAGGUUGUUCUGUUUGGGUACAUAUAUAUAUGAUAUCUGUAUACGAGCAUGUUAAGCAUGUUAACUCUGUUAAUACUGUAUUCUCUAUCUGUGUUUGGGGUGGGCUUUGUAUUUGUGGAGGAAGUGUCUGUACAACGACCUUUCGCCUAUAUUCUGGUAGCUUGACUGCUUAUUAUCUGUUAUAUGUUGUAGCGACACUAUAUAGUGUGUAGGGAUGGGUGGGUGUUUUUAACCCCACAUGAUGUGAUGGGAUGGUCGGAGAUGGUGUGCAGAGGAUGGGGGUAGGAAUCUGUAUAUCUAUUCUGUUUAUCUGAUUCUGAUAUAUGCAUCUUUUAUGGACUUAGGUCUGAAUCUAUAUCUGAUUGUAUAAGAUAUAAUGUGUAUGAUGUAUGACUAUUUCUGUUGGGUUAGACACUGAGUUUACGAAAACUCACAUCUAUUUAUCUGUUCUGUUCAGGUAAUUCUCGAACUUAGGCAGGUCGGUGCGACAAAGGCUCAGUGGUGACCACUCCAUCAAGAUCUGUUUUUAUUUAGUAAAAAUGGUUUAUUUUAAAAAUCUAGUUUUCUUGAUAGUUUGUAAAUUUUGGAACUCUCUGGAUUGUUUGGUUUAACUUUUAGAUUUUGGAUUUCGGUAUUGCUUUCUUUUUCGCAACGCCAACAAAACACUUUACGCAAACAAAUGGGUUUUUGGAAUCACGAGCUUGGUUUUGGUUUUAAAAGAAUUUUCAAACUUCCGCUGCGAAAUAAAUAGUUAACUUUAAAGAACAUCAUAUAACGGUUUCAGUAAUGAAUAUGUUUUAUAAUACUUGGACGCUUUAUCGAAUAACUAAAUAUGAUUUUAUCAAAGUAUCGUCAGUUUCAAAAUCCUUCUUCGUAACACUCCUGGAUUAGGCUAUAAUGUCUAGGCCAAGUUUGGGGUAUUGCAUCCGACCCAUGAACACAUUUAUUUUGAAGUGGUUGCAUAAGUAAUCGAGAUUGCUAUUUUUUGUUAUUUCCUUGUUGAAAUUAUUUAUUUUUGUGUUGUGUUUUAAUAAAAAAAAAACACUUAAUGAUAUUAUCUAAUUAGAUUAAUUUCUCAAUUAACAUAAAAAUAUAAAUAUCAAAUCCUAUCAAAUUAAAGUACAACCUUUUCUAUUUUUGUAAAAGUAGAAAAUAAAAUUCAUAAUUACAUAUUUUUGUCUCCUGCUAACAAAAUAUAAGUUUAAAAAUCAUUUAUUAAUAUAAUUUGUUCGAUUUGAAAUUGUUUUUAAUAUUGUUAGAACAGGUUUUGCUAUUCUUAAAAGAAAUUGGGUUAAAUUCGUGAUUGUAUUUAAUUUUUUUAAUAGAGUUAACGGAAAAAGUCGAUGAAAAAAAUUGAAAAUGACCUAUUCGAAAAGUAGAUAGACCAAUGUAGAGGUGUUCAUGGGUCGGGUCGGGUCGAGUUUGGGCCGGGCCCAUAAAAAAUUCGGCCCGAGUCCUAGGCCCAAGCCCAGCCCGAAAUAUGGGCCUGGAAUUUUGUUCAGGCCCGGCCCGAGGGAAAAUUCUUAAGCCCGGGCCCGACCCGGCCCAUUUUUUAAAUAAACACCAAAAAAAAUUUUAGAAAAUUAAAAAAAGUAUUUUAAAAUAUUUUUAAAAAUAAAAAAUAUAUAUUUAUUAUAUUCGGGCUGGGUUGGGCAGGGCCCAGGCCAAAAAAGUGGUGCCCGAGGCCUGGCCCGUUUUCUAAACUGGCCUCAUUUUUUGCCCAAGCCCAUAUUUCGGGCCUAUAUUUUUUCCCAAACCCUCCCAUAUUUCGGGCAGGCCGUCGGGUCGGGCCGGGCCGCUCGGCCCAUGAACACCUCUAGACCAAUGUUAAAUAAACAAAAAUAAAAAGGUUGGAUUCGUAUAAAUUGAUAAAUACAAGGACUGAUCUAUAAAGGUAACCUUUUCUUUUUGGAAAAACUAGCUGCAUCUUAAUUUUCAUUUUUAGAAAGUAAGCUUUUUGUCCUUUCUUCUCCACUUGGUCUUAGCAAAUCGCUACCACACGUUUUGGCUAUUAUUAUCCCAUGAGGACGGCAUGUUAACGAGUUCAAAAAUACUAUUAUUUCUCAAUCAACGUAUACACAAGUACCUAAAUUAUAUACAAUUCAUUGUGUAUAGGUUCAUCGAGUCCAAUUUAUGUAAGAUUAACAAAUAGUUUUAAAAUUAUUAAAAUAUUUCAUAAAAAUAUACAAAAUUCAAAAGUAUAUAUAAAAAGCUCAUAAAAGUUCAACCAAAAAAAAAAAAAAAGCAGCAAUACGCAUAAAGGGAAAUGUUUUCAUAAAUGAAGUGGGCAAUGGGGUCUUCUUCUUCAACAUUUCUUCUGUUUCUUUAUUCUUUUCUUCUUUCCCUUGCUACUCUUACCCUUUCGCAGCUUCAUGAUGUUUACUUUGAGCGUAACUGUAGUGAUACCAAUGGCAAUUUCACCCCAAACAGCGCUUACCAGACCAACCUCAAUGCCAUCAUCUCUCAACUCCCCACCCUUGCACAUUUCAAUUACGGCUUCUUCAAUCUGUCUGCCGGUGGAAGCCCCGACAAAGUUUACUCAAGCGCACUUUGCAGGAGUGACUUAACUCAAGAUCGUUGCUAUAGUUGCCUCAACUACACCGCGACCGAGCUCGAGCGAUUGUGUCCCCGGAUCAAGACCGCCAUCGCUUGGUCCGAGCUUUGUUUGGUGCGAUUAUACACUUUGGAUGAAUGGUAGUGGGUUAAGAUAUUUAAGUUAUAAAUGUGUUUAUGGGCUGGUCAGGUCAAGUUUGGGCGUUUAUGUUUGUCCAAGGUUCUUAGCUCAGUUUAAUCCGAAAUAUCAACAAAAAUUUUGUCCAAGUCUACUUGUAUUUGUAAAUAACUAACCUAAACUCAUUUUAAACAUAUUGAUCAUAUUAUAUUUUUAAUUUUUUAAAAAUAUUUAUAUUAUUUUUAAUUUAAAAUUUAAAAUUUAUAUAUUGGUAACAUAAUAUUUUUUAAUAUUUAUAUUAUAUAUUAGUAUAAAUAUAAAUUUUUUAUGUUAUAAAUUAUAUAAUACAUAAAAAUAACAUAAUUUAAUAUAUUAUAAAAUUAAAAAAGGGGUAUGAUUGAGCUUCAACUUUGUCUGUUCAAGGUCUUCUGUAGGGCCCUGUAAUAUUGACUUACUGAUUCUUGGUUAGUGACCGGCGUAGCGGCUGCGCCAAACUUAUAAGUAAGAAGGGUGAGUCAUGUUUUCGUAAUUGAUUGUUCCACUGGCAAUGGGAUCUUUAACAACAGUUCCACUGUUUUCUUAUUCACUUGUUCUUUCCUUCCUCCCUACUCUUAUCGUUGCACAGCUUAAUCCUGUUUACUUUGAGCACGAUUGUAAUCAAGGCAGCGGCAAUUACACCCCAAACAGCACUUACGAGGCCAACCUCAAUAGCAUCAUCUCCCGAUUCGCCACUCUUAGUUAUUUCAAUUACGGCUUUUUCAAUCUAUCUGCGGGAGAAAGCCCCAACAAGGUUUACUCAAUCGCACUUUGCAGGGGUGACAUGAACCAAGCCGAUUGCAACACUUGCCUCAACUCUACCGCAACCGAACUCAAGCAGUUUUGUCCCCGGAACAAGGUCGCCAUCGCUUGGUCCGAGCUCUGUUUGGUGCGGUACGCCAACCGAGACCUGUACGGGCUGCUGGAGAACGACCCUCAUACUUGUGCAUUCAACCCGAUGAAUGCAUCGAACCCUACUCAGUUCAAUCGAGCAUUAAGUGAACUAUUGAAUAAUCUAAGCAGCGAAGCUGCAGCCAGUGGCCCACUCCGCAAGUACGCAGCUGGCAAUGCACCGACUGGUAUCUUGCAAACGGUAUACGCCACGGUACAGUGUACUCCAGAUAUGACCCAGGAAAAUUGCACUGCUUGUCUAAAUUACGGCAGGAGGGAGCUUCGACUCUGUUGCCUUGGAAGGAUGGGAUGCAGGGUUCUUAGACCAACCUGUGUCUUGAGGUUUGAGUCUAACCCUUUUUAUAAUGAGACCGCAGUUCCUUUACCGUCACCUCCAACAACUUCUUCUCCGACGCCAUCUCCAGGUAAGGAAUCGAUUUGUACUCUUUUCUUUUUCCUGAGCAAAGCAAUUAACAAUAAAAUAAAAUAAAAAAUAAAUAAAAUACCAACAAAAUGAGCAGUGGUUUAAUAUGUGCUUACUUAUUUCUGUUUGGAGGUUGCCUGUUAGGUUUAUCUGCAUAUAUAUUAUAUGUAUGUUCGUAAGAAUGAUAACAUUCUAAAUUUGUGUUUUGCAGGAAAUGGGAAUAACACAACUCGAACUGUAAUCAUUGUUAUUGCUUCUGUUGUUGGCCUUGUAAUACUAAUUACCAUCUCCAUCUGCAUUUUUAAGAGGCCCAAAAGAAACAAAGACAUACCUAUAAAAGUUGAAAGUAAGUAAAUUCACUCACAACCAUGACAUGGAUUCUCUAAAAUAUAAUGUAACAAAGACCAAACAAACAACUAGUAAGUGUAGAUCAGGUGCCGAAGAAAUUGUACAAUAAUUAUAUUGCCUUUUUGCAGCUAAGGAUGCGGAUAAUGAGAUGUCCGGGGCCGAUUCCUUGCAAUUCGGCUUCGAUUCUGUUUUGGUUGCAACCGAUAACUUCUCUGAUGCAAAUAAGCUUGGUCAAGGAGGAUUUGGAGCUGUUUACAAGGCAAAGAAUAGUACUGCUAUGUCAAUGAAUAUACAUGAACUGUAUUUCUAAAUCUAUCAAAAGCCACUUAUGGUUCAUAUGUAUAUUGUUAUGUUUUCAGGGUCAGCUUCCAAAUGGAGAAGAGAUUGCUGUGAAAAGACUGUCUAAAGGAUCAGGUCAAGGAGACUUAGAAUUUAAGACCGAGGUGCAAUUAGUUGCCAAGCUUCAACACCGCAAUUUAGUUAGGCUCCUUGGUUUUUGCUUGCAAGAACAGGAAAGGCUUCUCAUCUAUGAGUUUGUGCCAAAUGCAAGCCUUGAUCAUUUCAUUUUUGGUAAUGUUUCAGUUUAAAUUUCAUUUUCAGAUUGCAUUUCUAUUACAACUUUGUAUAUUUAUCCUUUUAACUGUGUAUAGCCAUCAGCAAGGACAUGCACCAAAUUUAAUCCUUGAAUUUGUUCCACUAAUCUGAAAGUUUUGUGAUGACGUAGAUCGGAUCAGGCGUGCAGAACUAGAUUGGGAAAUACGGUUCAAAAUCAUACAUGGCAUUGUUCGUGGACUCCUUUACCUUCACGAAGACUCUAGGCUUCGAAUUAUUCACCGUGAUCUCAAAGCAAGUAAUAUCUUAUUAGAUGCAGAGAUGGUUCCUAAAAUUGCAGAUUUCGGGAUGGCAAGAUUGUUUGGACAGGAUGAAACACAAGGCAGCACUAGCAGAAUUGUGGGAACUCAGUAAGUAUCAAGACAUCCUAGGAGCCUUUUAGAUAUUAAACAUAUGUAUAUGAACUGUACUAAUGAAGCUUCCCUUAAUUGCAGUGGAUAUAUGGCUCCCGAAUAUGUUUUCCAUGGACAAUUCUCAGUAAAAUCAGAUGUGUUCAGCUUCGGUGUAUUACUUUUAGAAAUUAUAAGUGGCCAGAGAAACAAUAGCUUCCGUUAUGAUGAGCAGUACGAAUACAUACUAGGUUUUGUAAGUAUAUAUAUGAUUUCUAGUGACUGAAAGCCAAUGUUAAAAGAGUUAUAUGUUUACAUUGUUGAAAUUGGACAUUGGCUGAUUCCUUGGUAGGCAUGGAGAAGCUGGAGAGAAGGGACGGCAUUGAAUCUAGUUGAUCCCACAUUGGGUGAUAGUUCAAGGAAUGAGAUAAUGAGAUGCAUUCACAUUGCAUUGCUAUGUGUUCAGGAAAAAGUAGCAGCCAGACCAACCAUGGCUUCGGUUGUUCUGAUGCUGAAUAGCUUCUCGACCACCCUCGCCGUGCCGGCACAACCAGCAUUUGUCAUGCAGGGCAACUUCAAUUUUGAUAUGUCAACUUCAUCGGCAUCAGCUUCAAACCAAUCCAACACAGAGUUGCCACCAUUGCCCCGCAACGAGGUCUCAAUUAGUGAGCUAUCUCCUAGGUAGUGUUUGCAAAUGGUUUAUUUUAAGUUUAUUCUCAUUUUAUUUUUUGUAUAAAAGAUUGUAGCCUGAAUUAGUUGAGUGAUGACACCCUACUCAAUUAUUAGAGUCAAAAACUAAGUUAAGAAUGAAGUAAAAACCAAUUUUAUUUAAUAAUUUAAAAAAAAAAAAUUUCUAAUUCUAUUAUAAUUUUCUCAAACUCUUAAAUCUCGAAACAAAAUAUACAUUUAAGUUCAUUCAAAGUCACGGUGACAAUUUGAUUAAAAUAUAAUUAAUUUUUUAUAUAUAAAUUAUUGAUAAACAUAAUAAAGGUGUUUAUGUUUUUUAAUCCCACAUAAUAUAUUUUUAUAAAAAAAGUUAAAUACUUUUUAAAAAGAAUUAUUUAAAAACUAUUCUUUAAAGAAAAAACCAUUUCUUUUAUAUAAUUUUUUAAAUUAUCAACAUUUAAUAUAUCAUAUUUAAAAAUUAUCUAACUUAAAAGUUAACUAGAGACUAGAGAUUAACUCAAGUAAUCAAUUUUUAUUUUUAUUUUUUGACAAGCAAGAAAUUAUUUAAAACUUAUUAACAAAUAAUAUAAAUUGACAAUAAUCAUAUUUUUAGGUUUUAUUUUUAUAUUGAUAUAGUCAAAUAAUAUAUUAUUUAUUAAAAAAAGUUUAUGUAAAAGUUACGUUUAGAAUCCGCUUUUUUUACAACAAUCUUAUGUCAAAUUUUUAUGUGAAACCUAUGCUUGCAAAUUUUUCAUGUCCCAAGUAAUAAUCCUGUAAUGAUGAAGCUAUCACUGUCAAGUUUCAUAUAAUAUAUAAGAGAUAUGAAUUUUUUUUUUGUUGGGAGUUAAACCUAAUAAAUUUAUAGUCUUUAGCUUGACAUUUGCAAAUAUCAAGUUUAUAUUUAUUAUAAACUUAACCCUAAUCAAUAAAUUAUAUAGAAUUCGAUACUUGAGUUUAAUUAUGUUUAAGUUUUCAUCACUUACCAUAAACUUAAACCUAAUAAAUGUAUACAUCCACAUAUGUCAAAUUUCUAUAUAUUUAAGUUUUUACUAUUUUCCGUAAAUUUAACUUUAAUAAAUACAUUUUUAUGGAGCUCGGCACCCGCGAAUAUCAAAUUUAAGUUAAAAUAAAAUUUUAACCGUUUAACUCAACCUAACCCUCAUAAAUUACUGUCAAUGUAAUGGAAUGUUUUCAAGAAGAUCGAAUGAAAAAAUUUUUGAGAGAGUUGAAUUUUGAAUAAUUUUUUUAUCUUUUAUUUUAUAGAAGCAAAGUGUGCUUAAAGUUAGGUGUCAAACUUUUUCAUUAAAAAUCAUCCAUGAAUUUGACAUAUACAAGAGAUAAGUUCCUAUCUAUCAGGAAAGCUUCUAUUUCCUUUUCUUUUUAUUUUUGUAUUUAAAAAUAAUAAUAAAAUAAAAAUAAAAAAUAGAGAAACCCUAAAUCAAAAUAAAAAGUAAUCACCUUUAAAACCUUCCUCAGUUUUUUGAUGGAUUUUUUUAUUUAGGAUCAGUGUCCGCGUAAAAAAAAUACAAAGAUGAAAUUCGGGCUUUUAUAGCUUGAUUACAAAACUCCUAAUUUCUAUUUUUUUUGUUGUCUUGCUAUUGUCUUUUCUGCUAUUGCGUGUAGUUCUUCAUUUUGCAAGUGUCAGACGCGUGCUGAGGUGGUGGCGUGCGAGGAGGUCCUGCUGGCGUGCGGCGGCUAGGAGCAAGCCUAAGGGCAGACCUAGGUGCAGCGCACCUAGGGUUUCUUUUGGCUGAAAAUUUUUUAAGUUUUGUGGGCUAGAGUUUAGUUUGGGUUUAGGGUUUGUGCUUGAUAUGUAAUAAGUUAAUUUAAUUUGAAUUGCGCUUUGAUGGACUGUAAUUUUUUUAUUUUGGGUUUUAGUUUUGGGCCCGGACAAAAAUGAAUUAUUACACAAACAUUAUCCAAACAUGUCACUCAUUAGUAAUUACAACCAAAUAUAUUCAAAUUUAAUUACUAGUCUUUCCAAACACUACUCCCUGAAAACAAUAUCAAUAAUUUUCUUUCAUUGAAAACAAUAAAGAUUAAAAAAAGUUGUACUAAUUAUACACUUUGGAUGAAUGGUAGUGGGUUAAGAUAUUUAAGUUAUAAAUGUGUUUAUGGGCUAGUCAGGUCGAGUUUGGGCGUUUAGUAUUAAUAUACUUUAUGUUUGUCCAAGGUUCUUAGCUCAGCUUAACCCGAAAUAUCAACAAAAAUUUUGUCCAAAUCGAGUUUGGGCGUUUAGUAUUAAUAUACUUACUUGCCUUAUUACCGAAUCACAAGCCAAACAUCACAAGCAUGAAUAUCAUAAAACAUAACCCAUUAUUUUCAUGGCUUUUAUAUAUAUAUAUAUAUAUAUAUAUAUAUAUAUAUAUAUCCCAAAAUCAAACCCAUCAAGUAUUUAACCAAGAAUAUAUAAAACCAAGCUUAACCAAAAUGAAUAAGCCAUUUUUCGCAUGGCUCAUAUUUACAUAUCCCAAUAUCAAACAUAUUAACUAGACUAUACAUGUCAUAGGCUCAAGUUCAAAUUCAAAUUUAUAAAAUACCAAAGACGGUCGAUAGUGUGAUAGACUUCUUUGAUGACCCCCGAGCUCGUAACCAACUUCCAAAAUCUAAAAAAAAAAACAAAGAGCAAACAUACACACAGUAAGCUUUCACAGCUUAGUAAAUCAUAAGCAAUGGAAACAUUUAAUCAUAUACAAAAUUAAUCUAGUCAAACCGAAACAAACCAUUAGUAACUCAUAUACCUUUCCAACUUAUAAUUUCAUAAGUCAAACCAUAAAAGUUUUGCAUAAAAUUCUCCUUUGACCGAAUACCCAUUCAAAUAUUAGUAUGCUUAACCAAUAUUACUUUUUAUAAUACAUUUACAUUUACAUCAUUAGGCCUAACAUAUAUUAUCACAAAAUUCACAUUAAAAUAUAACAUUAUACUAUCAAUUCAACAUUCAACUUACCUUAUUUCUUUUUAUAUAACUAAUUAGUAUGAGUACGUAUCUGAGUAUUUCUAGCUUGAUUUUUCACUUGAUCUUAAUUUAUUAUUGCCCGUUGAACCAUUCGGAAUUAAAAAUGAUCUUAACUAUAAAUAUCUGCCUUAGUAAAAUAUUUUCAUUCAAAUAACAUCUAAAGAAUUACUCGAAAAAUCAUAUUUUAGAAUUUUAUUUGCAUCACAAAAAAUGUAUGAUUAUUAUUGUUUUAUAAGAUUAGUUGUUAUUAUUUGAUAUUCGAAAGUUUUACUGUUAUUUGAUUUUAAUAACACUUAUGCUAACGAUGUAUAGAAUAAUUACUUUUUUUUACCAAAGUUAAUUUUUUUUUGAAAUAUCUCAAUAUAGGUUCUUAUUAUAUUUGUUCAUUUUGACACAAUACUUAGAACUACCUAUAACCCAUCCCCAACCCAUGAAUAGGAGGAUAAUACGUUUCAGCGCACUCGAAUCCACGUUCUCCUAUAUUAACAACAAUAUCUAUAUCAAUCAAAUUAACACUUAAUCAACACCAAAUCACAAAAGAGAUAAGAGUUGAGAAAUGAUUAACAAAUACUGAAGAAGUCUUUGAUGACGACAUUGAUAACAAGCAAGAAAAAGUCAUAAAUCUAAAGUCCAAAUUAACACUUUACAAUUUUGAAUAACUAAAAUAUUUUAAACUAUUAAAUACUAUGAAGAAAACCCCCAAAUAACGUAAGAGGCCCUUGUACCUCUUUUAGUUAUAGAAGAAAAGUGAAAAAAAAAAAAGGCAAAAUAAAGUCUAACCUAGAAAAAAAAAACAUAAGAAUGUAAAAUGAUCAAGGGAAUAAAAAGAUGAUUAUAAGAAUAUUGGAUGUCUAGUUUUUUGUUUCAUAAAGAGACAUUAAAUAGCUUGACACUACAACUCUAAUAUUGAUAAAAAUUCCUUCCAAAAUGUGGAUGAUUGGAGCUUGUUUGGAUACAAAAUUGGCUCUAUAUAUUUCCAUUCAUUAUUAGGCUUCAAUGUCGUGACAUCCAGACUUUGUUGCCACGACCCCUAUGACAUUCAAGCUUUGGUGUUGCAACCCCCAUGACAAUUAGCUCAAAGGAGUCUUACGCUGGUUGUUUUUCCUUACUUGUAUCUUUUUACCUUGCAGAACUCUUGAAUUGAAUCAGCGAAGGAUCAAACAUAAUCUUAAGAUAAUAGUUAUAUGUUCAUUUUGAUUUUAGACCGUGUGACAUGUGUUUAAGGGUUUCUAGUUUGUAAAUGACUAUUUUGAGAAUCGAUAGUUUUGUGUUAAUGGUAGUAAUGAUUGAUUUUGAAUGUAACUUUGGCAUGAAACUUAAUGAUGCAUAUUUUAGUUAAGUUUGAUGCUAUAUGAGUGCUGAUUUUUCUUUUGAUUGGUUUGGCACACUUAAAGCUAUCAACUAGGCGAUUAAUGUUUUGGGAAUGGUAAGGUGAAUGUUAAGCAUGCCUUAUAACUUAGUAUAUGCUUUGGUUAAUUCAUGUUAUUCUCUUGAAUGCUUAGUUUUCAGUUGGGAUUAUGAAUAUGUUUGAGUUGGUGAUGGCAAUUGAUGAAAUCGUAAACCAACUAAAAAAUUGACUAACACAAGUGCACCUAUCAAUUAAUGGUAUAGUUAUGAUGAAUAAAGAUAUAGUUCUCACGAAAAUUAAAAGUACUAGUAAUUAUCGUAUUUCUAUUAUUUAACAGAUAAAUUUGAGUGAUUGAUGGAAAACUAAAAUUAACUAAAUUAAUUAACUACGAACACGACAAAGAAUAGCUCAGGAAAGAAAAAGAUUAACAACCAAGAAGCGUAACAAUUCUCAGAAAAGAAUCUACCUAUACUUUAUUUGUCACUAUCAAUCUAAAUCACACAAUUUAUUUACUUAGUUUCGUGAUUUGUAAAAAUUCCUAAAUUAUGCUAAUAUCUCUUUCGAGAGUUAAAGUAAUAACUUUAAAUUAAUUAAUUGAAAUUUUUUUCUAAUUAAAACUCAUUUUGUUUGGACCAAAAAAUUGGCAAAAAGAAGAAGAAGAAAGGUGCAUGCUGAUUGACAUUGACUUAGCUAUAUGCCAAAAUUAUAAUAAUACAUGGAUUGAAGCUGGGUACAAGUAACCCCUUGCUUUGUUGACUUGACUUAAGUGAUAAAAAUUAAUUUUAUUUUUAAUUUAAAUACUUAAUAAAUAUAAAUUACUAUGUUCAAAUACCUCUAUAUACAUUAGCCCGUUUUCUAUAUUUAGUUACAUAACCAUGUUUCUAUGGUUUCAACGGUUGCAACAAGUCUAAAUAGAUUAAACAUUUAAUAAUCUUAUUAGAGACCACUAAUGUAAGGUCCCAACUCCCAACAUAAAAGUUAAGGUGUCUUGCUUUUUCACUAUAUCAAUUUCUCUUCAUUUUAUAAUGUCAUUUGCUCAACCUCUCCAAACCUUCCAUUGCUUUUCAUAGCCAUUCUCUGCAGCCUCUUGUCCUUGGAAAUUCCUGUCCAGUGAGAGAUGUAGAGUGACGUCUACAAGUAUCGAUAUCACUGCUCAUGUACUAAUGCAUAAUUAGUAGAUAUUACAUACUUGAAGUUGAUGUUUAAAGUUCAUAAUUGGGUAUUAAAUUAUAAUCAUUUGUAUAAUCAAAAUCGAUAUAAUAAACCUAAAAAAGUUAUGAUUGCGAAUUAUGAAAUAUUUUUAUAUUUUUUAGUAUUUUUUAUCUUUAUUUUAUCCUACAUAUUUGAUGUUUAUGAUUUUCCCUCUCAACAAUAUUGUCUCAAAAAUUUAAAUGAUGUGACUUAUCAUUGUAGGCAUUUGAUUGGUCCAAAUCAAAAUCUAACUCUUUCGACUGUGUGAACGAGUCAAGGUCUCAUCAUCUAAUUCAAUUAUCUUAAUUAGAUGAUCAUUUAAAAUUCAAUACUAGAUUAUUAUACAAUCAAAAUCAAAAUAUGAAUGAAAAGAAAUUAUAUAAUUAAUAUAUUAAUUAAAAAAAUUAUAUAAUGAGUAUUUACGGAUUGACUUAGCUAUAAUAAUAAUCAUAACCACUCGUUAUUGGAUUGAGGUUGAACACAAGUCUUGACUCUAAAACUUUAUUUAAUGUGAUAAAAUAUAAAUAAGUAUUAUUGAUACGAAUUUUUCCGCAAGCUCUUGUUCUUGGAAAUUUCCUAUGUCCAGUGAGAGAUGUACAGUAAUAACUAUAUAUUUAUGAUCAAUUUCGAAGUUUUUGCAAUAAGUUCUUAAUCACAGUCUUUCUGUCUGAAGAAAUUCAUGUCUAUGGCUGUGGACUGUUCCAUAUUCUGUAGGACGAAACUUUGUUUUAUUAAUGCUUUCUGUUUAUCAUCUCCUCUUUCACAUGUCUUCAUGUAGUCUUCGGCACUGCAAAUGAAUUUGAUUUUGGCCUUCACUGUAACUCAAUUGUUCAUGAAUCCAAACCAGCUGACGAGGAGUUCAAUAUCAUGCCUUUCUCUGGACGUCAAUAUGGUUACUUCAGUGGUGGUGAUAAAGUCCCAAAUAAUCCUCCUUCACGUUCCUACUCUGCACCCAAAUCGAAAAGGCUCCGUUUCAAGACUCACCACGUAUUUACAACCGAAGCUGAUGAUGUCUUUAUGGUGGAAGGAAACCUGAUUUUUCGAACCUCGUCUUACUAUGAACGGAGUAUCUCCUCUGGAAGCUCAUACGUUCGUGGGACACUGGACUUCGAUUUUCGAGGCUUCUGGUCUCGAACAACCGGGAAGCUUUGCAUGGUGGGAUCGAGUCAUGCUUACUCCAAAGAAGGUAAACUGCUUCACCUUGCUGCUGUUCUUAAGAUUAAUAAUCUUCAGACUUCAAGUAAUAUUAGUACUUUAGUCACCGGUACCAUGGAUAGCUUGAGUUCUGCUAAUGAUCCAAAUCACUUUGAGCAAAUAUCACUGCUGAUGUUUCCUCGAGUAAAUUACGCUUACACCAUGAUUUCAAAUCAGUUCAGUGAAGGGUGUCCUGGGGGAAUCGAUGUCCAACCGAUGUCGUCCCUCCGCUUAUCGCAAACUCGAACUAUUUGUGAUAUGUUAGGUGGAAGCAAUGCUUUCAAAUUGGAGUAUACUGGCAGUUGUAAUUUUUCAAAGAGUUGCAAUCCAUUUGGUGAUGGUAUUGGAUCAGUAGUAUCAUUGCGUAUGAUUCAGUGCUCAAACGAUAGGCAAAGCUUGAGGCUUCUGAUAGAAUUUCGGAACGAUAGCUAUCAGGGAUACUAUAGCUCUCCCAAUCUCAACACUUCAUUAAUUGGAGAAGGAUCUUGGGAUGCAAAGAGUAAUCGGCUUUGUAUCAUUGCUUGCCGAAUCUAUGAUGCAUGGAGCUCCUUGGAGAAGUCUCAUGUUGGAGACUGCACGACACGGUUGAGCUUAAGAUUCCCGGCAAUCUUGUCUAUCAGAAACACAAGCACCAUUGUAGGAGAAAUUUGGAGUGAGAAGCCUAGGAAUGAAGGUGGUUUCUUUGAUAGGGUCGAGUUCCGAAAUACUGGACGUUAUGGAGGACGAAUUCAACUUCAAGGUUUGAAGUAUGUAUACACGGAAAUGGCCGAAGUGAAGAAAUCAUGUCCAAAGAAGAAUCCUAAGACUAAAAGCAGUAGGGAACACUAUCCAGAUGGCUAUUCUGGUAAUCUGGGUUUUAGAAUGUCGAUCAUCAAAGGUUCCAAAGGAAGAAUCGGAUGGGGUUCUUCUGAUCCUCUUGCGGUAGGUGAUCAGCAAGAUCAGAGAUUUCCGUCUCUAAUACCAUCCUCAAGCUCAAAGCCUAAAAGUUCUGGCGUUGAAUCCAAUUCCAGCAGUGGCUUGCUUAAUAUCAGCUAUAAAAUGAGUAUCAUGCUGCGUAGUUCGGAAUUGGAUGGUGGCCUUAAUACGGUUAACGAAUCUUCAAAUGAAUAUUUGAAAACAGAAAUCCGAAUUUCUGCUGAAGGGGUUUAUGAUACAGCAACAGGUAGCCUAUGCAUGGUUGGCUGCAGACAUUUAAGGUCAGGUGACAAAACAUUUUCAAGCCAUUCGAUGGAUUGCAAGAUCCUGGUGAAAAUCAAUUUUCCUCCAUUGAACUCGGACAGGAGAAGUACGAUCAAAGGAAGCAUCGAAAGCACACGUGAAGAAAUCGAUCCUCUGUCCUUCAAGCCCCUGCAGUUUUCGGGAAGAGCUUAUUAUCGCAGUUGGGUUACGGAAUCAAUUUGGAGAAUGGAUUUCGAGAUGGACAUGUUGGUAAUAUCCAAUUCUCUUGCAAUUAUCUUUGUAGCAUUUCAAAUCCUUCAUGUCAGGAAGCACCGUGGCAUUGGUCCUUUCGUUUCACUUCUAAUGCUUGUUAUUCUAGCCCUGGGACACUUGAUCCCUUUGGUUCUAAACCUCGAAGCAAUGUUCAUUCAAGAUAGCAAGAGAUCGGUCUUGAUUAGAGGUGGAAGUCGGCUCGAAAUGAACAAGGUUAUCAUUAGAGUCGUCACAAUGGUGGCUUUUCUGCUGCAAGUCCGUCUUCUGAUGCUCUCAUGGACUGCUAGAUGCUCCACUGAAAAGAAAAAGACCUUGUGGAUUGCAGAGAAAAGGGGGCUGUAUGUGUGUGUUCCGGUGUAUGUAAUCGGAGCUAUUAUCGCCUUUUCCAUUAAGUCUAGGCAGAAUGUACAUCUAACUUGGUACUACAUAGAUGAAAUCAUUUUGGGGAGUUCAAGAGCUUAUGCUGGUUUGGUACUGGAUGCCUUUCUUUUUCCUCAAAUAAUCUUCAAUAUGUUCCAGAACUUGAGAGAACCAGCACUUUCUCAUUUCUUUUACAUCGGAAUCACCCUUGUUCGCCUCGUACCCCAUGGAUAUGAUCUGUACAGAGCAAACAACUAUGCUGAUAUAGAUGACUCAUACAUCUACGGAGAUCAUGGUGCAGAUUACUACUCAACGGCUUGGGACUUCAUUAUUAUUGUGUUGGGUAUAUUCUUUGCUGUGAUCAUACACUACCAACAGCGCCUCGGUGGUCGAUAUUUCCUUCCGAAGAGAUUCCAAGAAUCUGUGAUAGAUGAGGAAUUUCCGGUAGAUUCGGAAGAACAAUUGCCAUUGAGAUAUAACACCUAGUGCAUGCUUCAAGUGUUAACUACUUUUGUUACCGUGGACUUGUUUUUAGUACUGAUUCGAAAUAAUAAAUAGAACUGUUCUAAAAAAUGUUUUAUUGUAGCUUGGGUAAGUGUUGGGUAAGAAUAUACCUCCAAUAUGAAUAAGUUUGAAGAGUACAUCUCCUUAUCCAUGUUUAAAUAUGUAUCCAACAUGGAUACAAAGAGAAGAUUUAAACUGAUAAUAAUUCAUUAAUCAUACGAAGUCCAUAGAUAUGACCAUUCCAUCAUAGUGUACAAUGAGACUCAGACAUAAGACAAACAGGCAUGAAAACGCACUCAAUGUCUCAAACUCAACAACAAAACACCAAUUUAUUCAACUCAAAUUCAUUAUUUUUAGUUCCUAAUAUUGCUAUGGACUAAAACAUCAUGGUUCUAUGUCUGCUUAAUGAGUGCCACAUGUGCAGUUUGUGCAGCUGCAGCUAUCUCCACACUUGCACUUGCCAUCGUUCUCUGCCACAGCCUCGACCACUACAGUGCUGAUGUAGCUGCAAAGAAAUAUCACAACAGAUUAUAUUUAAGCAUAUGUGUUCCACUGUGCAAGACAUAGCUUUUUUUUUGUUUCUCUAGGUAAUAAUAUGAUUACUUAUCCAAAUGGGUUCAAUUUUGGUUAAAUUAUUCAAUAUUGGUCCUAAUAUACCUCUUUUCAGUCUCAAUGACCAAGCUAUUUCCUUUCUUCCUGUAAGCAUAACAAAAAAAGCCUUCAGUUUCAAUGAUAAUUGAUUGCAAACUCAUGCAUUUAGUCACAGCAACCUUAGUAAAUUUAUAUUUUAUCUAUGAAAAAAAUUAUAAUUAAAUUCCGGCAGCUAAUAAAUAUUUUUUUUGAAUUUGCCCCUAGUAGUGCAUACUACAGCUAAAAAACAUGCAGAACUAACUUAGGAACAAUAACAAAAUCAAAGAACCACACACAACAGUAGAAACUGGUCGAAAGCUGAUGAUGGAAGGAUGAUUUCUUACACGCACUGACUCUUGUCAGAGCAGUCGCAGUUGCCGCACUUGUCAGACAUGGUGAAUUUGAAAAAGUUGAGAGAAGUAAAAGGUUUGUUUGAGUUUCUAAAGUAGUUAAGCUAGCUUGCUAUGUAUAUCCAAAGCUAUGCACUUGAUGUAUUUAUAGAAGAGGAAGUACAUUGAAAUGGUGCAAAGGGAAGGCAUCUAUCUGUAGGGGCCCAAGCAGGCAUGAGAGAAGCACACGCCUCUGCUACAAAGGAAAGGAAUCUUGAUAAUGGAGGCAAAGAAAUGGUUGGCUUACGGUCCUCCUCUCAUGUCUAUAUCAUUUGGAAUUUUCUUUUAGGUUGUCUUUUAGAAUGUAAUCCCAAAAUCUCUACCCAAAAUGAAAAAUCAAAUUCAACUUUGAAUUGGUGCUGCCUUUUAAGUUGAUAUUUAUAUAUCCAACCGACCUUUCAUAGAUCCUCCUUGUUAAUUCUAACACUUACAUAUUCCCCCAUAAGGUCGAGGCGUUCACCAAUUGUGGUUUGCAUUUACAUGUUCUAUUGGAGGUAAAUCUCAUUUCAAAUCAUAAUCUCCAUACAUUUUGCCAUCAUAUCUCAACAGUUUCCACCCUUUCCCCCUUCCACCAUCCAAGAUACGGAGUUGUGCACCAAGGAAAAGUAUCCAUUCACAAUCUUUCUUACGCAUAUCGUUAUUAUCAUUUUAGUUUGUUAUCACUGACAUGCACAAUUGAUUUUAAAUAAACUUGCUUACUUGGAGAAGAAUAUUAUCAUGAAAUUAGCUGGAAUUUAACUGGAGCACAAGUGAAAGGAAGUCACCAGAUAUUACCAGGAAAAGCUUUGCUUGUUCUAUGGGUUCUUUCCCUUUUGCACUAGGGCCUUCUCCCAUUUCUUUAGUUAAAUAAGAUUAAACAUUUUAUUAAGUACAAAAUCAAUCUAAACUUAAAGGUAAAAACAAGAAUCGAAAACAUGCAAACAUUAAUCAGAAGGAAGUUUCUUUCCUAUCUACCUCUAGUAGAAACCUAUAGAAAUGGUUCCUACUAUCCUAUCAUUCUUCAUAUAAAACUAAAGGACCUAAGAAUUUACCAGUUGUUAGCUCAAAAACUGGUACCUUCUUCACGCAGCGAAGAACACACUAAGUUUCUUCUGGGGGAACAGGAAUGAACAGUGAAAAAUGGUGAAUAAAGUCAUCCUCUGUUAAGCUCUUAUCUUAUUUAUAUAGGAAUUAGCCCGUAAUUCCACUAUAACAAGUUACCUAAUCAUUUUACAUACACACACUAUUCCACUAAUCAAACGAGGUUCUACAGAUGUCUUGCAAAAAUGACAGUUCCUAACUUAAAAUUUUGACACAUAAUUGAUGCAUGUCCCACCUACCCAGGCUAUCAACAGAAAUAUCGAAUGACUUACGUUGCUAUAAAAGAACUUGCCACUAGUGUGUCCACACAUGGAAGAACUUGCCAAGCAAAGGAGUUCGCCAAACGCAAGAAAGUGAAAAUCCAUCAGACUGCGGAACACAACGAAAUAAUCCGCUAGGCGAGUCUGCCCAAAAAUUUGGCUAAUUUUGCUGAUUAGAAGGACUAAAUUGCAAGAUCACAUCCAUCGUGUUAGCCGGCCAAAAUACGGAUUCUAAGGUUUGGUGUGUUAUAACUAGGGUUGCCCCAUUCUACAUCUUUUGAUUGAACUAGGAUUUCACUUUUCUAAUGAAAAAAACUUCUACAACUUAAUAAUUCUACCUUAUCUUAUUAUAAAUAAAUAGCACCGAUAGGGCAUAAAUGACGAACUUUGAGAGAUUAUUACUCUACCGAAAAAUAGAGAGUUUUAUUGGUAACUAUUAAAUAUAUUUUUCCGGAAUAACAAUUCUACUAAUUUCUUUUUGAGAAGAGAGAAUUUUUGUUUUCACCCCAUAAUUAAACAAAACUUUUCUAGUUCUGUGAUUUGAUUCAAUUGGUUUGUGCUCACACUCCAAACAUUUCAUGGUUUAAGAAUAGUAGAGAAGAUUGUUUGGUUGAAAUCCAGGAAACGUUAAGGAUCCGUAUAUCCAAAAACAUAUGUACGAUUUUGGUCGAAAGUUUAUUGCUAUAAAUAUCACAAACCGGGUCGUUUUCAAAAUUUUAAUUUUCCGUUAUGCAAGAAAACUAUUUUCAAACUAAUUUUUUUUCAACACCAAGCACACACUAAAUGUGAGACUGAAACAACCACAUAUUAAGAGUCAGAGCAAUGAUAAGUAACAAUUUUUAGCAAACACGUGUUCGAGUGUCACUAGCUAUGAAGUGUUGAGGCAUACGAAUGAUGGAACACACCAUUUUGAAACAAUUCUACAUAUUCUUGUUUCCUUCAACCUUGAAGCAUUUUUGCUGUUGCUGGGUAUUGAAAUUUGCUCUGGUGCUCUUGUUGUUUACCUGCUACGGACACGUGGUACCACGAGAGGAAACCUAAGAGACGCUCACAAAUGAUCCUUCUCUUUGCAACACUUGUCUUAUUCUCUACUUGAUGGUCACUCAAAUAACCCUUUAUCUGGACACCUCAUCCUCUUUGCCACUUGCUUUUAGUGGAAACACACUAACUCAUAAGAGGAGAUCAUGCCGCUAAAGUGUAACAACCUCAUACCACCUCAUUUCAAGAAAUGUUAGAGCAUCAUCAAAACUAACCUACCACCUGGCCAACCAUACGAUCAAACCACCGCUUGUACUAUUGGUGACAUGGCACCAACAAUCACAAGACCUCCUAUAAAUACCCUUCAUAACGCUGAAGGAAGGAUCUUUCUACCUUCAACAACCCUAAACACUCUUUAGAACCCUGUCUCCUUUGCUACCUUACCUCCCUCCCUGCCUUCCUCUUUUUUCCGACUCUUCACUUAGUAAAUCGAUUUUCCUUGCACCACCACAUUCUUCUCAUCUCAUCAAUUACUAAUACCCAAUAUCAACAAAAUAUAACAUACGAUAUCUGUUAAAGAGAUACAUAAUAUAUGAAAUCUAUUAAUAACAAUUUCAUUGCUCCAAUCAAUUGUGGUGAAAUUUUGUUUAGAUUUAUUUCCCUGAAUAAAUUUAAUAGUAAAUUGUAGUUUGUAGACACCGAAAGCACGUUUCAGGCCAGAAAAAAAAGACAGCGAAAGCUGGUGGAAGGUUUCAAGUUUCUGAUUUUAAGUCAAGUCAGCUGUUGUAGUUUCUGAUUUUAAGUCAUGUCAGCUGUUGUAGGACCUGCCAAUAAAAGCCUUUUGUCUGGACCCAAAAAAUUGGCAAAAAGAAGAAGAAAGGUGCAUGCUGAUUGACAUUGACUUAGCUAUAUGCCAAAAUUAUAAUAAUACAUGGAUUGAAGCAGGGCACAAGUACUAUUCAUACUAGUGCGAAACCCCUUGCUUUGUUGACUUGCUUAAGUGAUAAAAAUUAAUUUUAAUUUGUAAUUCAUUUAAAUUUUUUAUAUUAUUAUUUGUUUUAAAUUAUAAAAAAAUAUAUAGAAUUAUUAGAUAAAUAUAUGUCCGGAAUGAACUUGAAGAUAUAAUUGUUCACUUGUAUCUAAAUAACUAUUUGUCCAGAUUUAUUGUGCACUUAAAAUAAAAAAUCCUAAAAUUCAAGAAAAAAUCUACAAAAUUUAUAGAAAAACGUAAAAUUUUAGUAAAUACAAGAGUAUAUAUUAAAAAAAUUAUAUUUCUAUUUUUUGAAAUUAUAAAAAAAUAAAAACACAAAAAAAGACAUUACGAGCGAAUCUAGUUAUAUGGUUGUCCAAAAAUUUAAUUGUUCAGAUUCAUUAUGCAUGCAAAAUAAAAAAUAAAAUUCCUAAUUUUUAAUAUUUUUAAAUUUUUAUAAAAAUUAUUUUUGGGAUACGUCUCAACAUUCUAUACCAUCAGACCAAAAAUUAAUAAUGUUAGUUAAGUAUGAGCAAAAAAUACCAAUUUGCCUUAUAAUUUUUAGUCGAUUGAGUUUUAACUCGAUUGACAUAAAUACUAUAGUCAAUAUAGAAGGCCAUGGGUUCGACUAUGCUGAAAUACAUUAUACUCCUAUUUAUGAGGUGAGAAGGGAUUAUAAAUAAUUCUAGGCAUUGUAUUUAAAAAAAAAAUCAAAACCUAAAAUAACUUGUGAUUUUUAAAUUUAAAUACUCAAUAAAUAUAAAUUACUAUGUUGAAAUACCUCUAUAUAUAUUAGCCAGUUUUCUAUAGUUUAGCUACAUAACCAUGUUUCUAUGCUUUCAUUGGUAAGUCUAAAUAGAUUAAACAAUUAAUAAUCUUAUUAGAGACCGCUAAUGUAAGGUCCCAACUCCCAACCUAAAAGUUACUACAUUUGUAAUCACUGAAUUUUCUCUAAAUUAAUUUCGUGUUAAAAAAAGAAGGAUUUUUUUUUUAAUUUUUUUUUUUUGCAUUUUGACCCCUAAACCUUCCAUAAUUAGUAUUUUCCAUAAUGUCAUUUUCUCUUCAUUUUCCAUAAUGUCAUUUCCAGUGAGAGAUGUAGAGUGAUGUCUACAAGUACCAGUAGAUAUUACAUGCUUGAAGUUGAUGUUUAAAGUUCAUAAUCGGAUAUUAAAUUAUAAUCAUUCGUAUAAUCAAAAUCGAUAUAAUAAAUCUAAAAAAUAUAUGAUUACGAAUUAUGAGAUAUUUUUAUAUUUUUUUGGUAUUUUUAUCAUUUUUUAUGUACAUAUUUAAGGUUUAUGAUUUUCUCUCUCAACAAUAUUGUCUCAAAAAUUUAAAUAAUGUGACUUAUCAUUGUAGGCAUUUGAUUGGUCCAAAUCAAAAUCUAACUCUUUCAACCGUGUAAAGAGAGUCAAGGUCUCAUCAUCUAAUUCAAUUAUCUUAAUUAGACGAUCAUUUACAAUUCAAUUCUAAACUAUCAUACAAUCAAAAUAUGAAUGAAAAGAAAUUUUAUAAUUAAUAUAUUAAUUAAAAUUUUAUAUAAUGAGUAUUUAAUUGAAAUCAUAAAAAUUUUAAAAUUUUUUAUGUUAAGAGUUCAUAUCUCAUCAUAAUUUACUAACGUGACACACAUAAGCAGUCACGUGCAUGACACGUCAAUAUUUAAUUAAAUACAUAGUUAAUUUCAAGUCUCUAAAAAUAAAUGAUUGACAAAUAGCAGGAAUUUUCAUUCAUCUCUAUGCUCUAGUUGCUUAAAUCAAGUCAGCUGCUGGACCUGCCAGGAAAAGUCUUUUGUUUGGACCCAAAAUCUGGAAAAAUAUGUGUACCUGCCAGGAAAAGUCUUUGGUUUGGACCCAAAAACUGGAAAAAUAUGUGUAUCUCCAAUGAGAUUGACUUGGCUAUAAUAAUAAUCAUAACCACUCGUUGUUGGAUUGAGGAUGAGCACGAGUCUUGACUCUAAAACUUUAUUUAAUGUGAUAAAAUAUAAAUAAGUAUUAUUCAUACGAAUUUUUCUGCAAGCUCUUGUUCUUGGAAAUUUCCCAUGUCCAGUGAGAGAUGUAGAGUAAUAUCUAUAUAUUUAUGAUCAUUUUCAAAGCUUUUGCAAUAAGUUCUUUACCGCAAUCUUGCUGUCUGAAGAAAAUCAUGUCUAUAGAUAUGGACUGUUCCAUAUUCUGUAGGACGAAACUUUGUUUUAUUAAUGCUUUCUUCUUCUUGUUUAUCAUCUCCUCUUUCACAUGUCCUCAUGUAGUCUUCGGCACAGCAAGUGAAUUUGAUUAUGGUGUUCACUGUAACUCAGUUGUUCAUGAAUCCAAACCAGUUGAUGAGGAGUUCAAUAUCAUGCCUUUCCCUGGACGUCAAUAUGGUUACUUCAGUGGUGGUGAUAAAGUCCUAAACAAUCCUCCUUCACGUUCCUACUCUGCACCCAAAUCGAAAACGCUCCUUUUCGAGACUCACCACGUAUUUACAACCGAAGCUGAUGAUGUCUUUAUGGUGGAAGGAAACCUGAUUUUUCAAACCUCGUUUUACUAUGAACGGAGUAUCUCCUCUGGAAGCUCACACUUUAUUAUAAGGUCAAGCGAUUCAAGCGACCGUGGGACACUGGACUUCGAUUUUCGAGGCUUCUGGUCUCGAACAACCGGGAAGCUUUGCAUGGUGGGAUCGAGUUAUGCUUACUCCAAAGAAGGUAAACUGCUUCAUCUUGCUGCUGUUCUUAAGAUUAAUAAUCUUCAGAGUUCAAGUAAUGUUAGUACUUUAGUCACCGGUACCAUGGAUAGCUUGAGUUCUGCUAAUGAUCCAAAUCACUUUGAGCAAAUAUCACUGCUGAUGUUUCCUCAAGUAAAUUACGCUUACACCAUGAUUUCAAAUCAGUUUAGUAAAGGGUGUCCUCGGGGAACCGAUGUCCAACCGAUGUCAUCCCUCCGCUUAUCGCAAACUCGAACUAUUUGUGAUAUGUUAGGUGGAAGCAAUGCUUUCGAAUUGGAGUAUACUGGCAGUUGUAAUUCUUCAAAGAGUUGCAAUCCAUUUGGUGAUGGUAUUGGAUAUUUACCUUCAGUAAUAUCGUUGAGUAUGAUUCAGUGCUCAAACGAUAGGCAAAGCUUGAGGUUUCUGAUAGAAUUCCGGAACGACAGCUAUCAGGGAUACUAUAGCUCUCCCAAUCUCAACACUUCAUUAAUUGGAGAAGGAUCUUGGGAUGCAAAGAGUAAUCGGCUUUGUAUCAUUGCUUGCCGAAUCUAUGAUGCAUCGAGCUCCUUGGAGAAGUCUCAUGUCGGAGACUGCACGACACGGUUGAGCUUAAGAUUCCCUGCAAUCUUGUCUAUCAGAAACCCAAGCACCAUUGUAGGAGAAAUUUGGAGUGAGAAGCCUAGGAAUGACGGUGGUUUCUUUGAUAUGAUCGAGUUCCGAAAUACUGCACCUUAUGGAGGAAUUCAACUUCAAGGUUUGAAGUAUGUGUACACGGAAAUGGACGAAGUGAAGAAAUCAUGUCCAAAGAAGAAUUCUAGGACUAAUAGCAGUAUGGAACACUAUCCAGAUGCCUAUUCUGGAGACAUGAGUUUUAGUAUGUCCAUCAUCAAUGGUUCCAAAGGAAGCAUCGGAUGGGGUUAUUCGAAUAUUCUUGCGGUAGAUGAUCAGCAGUAUCAGAGAUUUCCAUCUCUAUUACCAUCCUCAAGCUCAAAGCCUAAAAGUUCUGGCGUUGAAUCCGAUUCCAGCAGUGGCUUGCUUAAUGUCAGCUAUAAAAUUAGCAUCCCGCCACUUAGUUUGGAAUUGGAUGGUGGCCUCAAACCGGUUAACCAAUCUUCAUAUGAAUAUCUGCAAACCGAAAUCCAAAUUUCUGCUGAAGGGGUUUAUGAUACAACAACAGGUAGCCUAUGCAUGGUUGGCUGCAGGCGUUCAAGGUUAGACAGCAAAUCAUUUUCAAGCCUUUCAAUAGAUUGCGAUAUCCUUGUGCAAGUCAACUUUCUUCCAUUGAACUCGCGCAAGAUAAAUAACAUCAAGGGAAGCAUCGAGAGCACGCGUGAAAAUACCGAUAGUCUGUACUUCAAGCCCCUGCAGAUUUUGGGAACAACUAAUUCUCGCAGUUGGGGAGCGGAAUCGAUUUGGAGAAUGGAUUUCGAGAUGAUCGUGUCGGUCGUAUCCAACACUCUUGCAAUUAUCUUUGUUGCAUUUCAAAUCUUUCAUGUGAGGAAGCACCGUGGCAUUGGUCCUAUGGUUUCACUUCUCAUGCUUGUUAUUCUAGCCCUGGGACACUUCAUCCCUUUGGUUCUAAACCUCGAAGCAACGUUCAUUCAGGAUAGCGAGAGAUCGAUCUUGAUUAGAGGUGGAACGUGGCUCGAAAUGAACGAGGUGAUCAUUAGAGUCGUCACAAUGGUGGCUUUUCUGCUGCAAGUCCGUCUUCUGAUNNNNNNNNNNNNNNNNNNNNNNNNNNNNNNNNNNNNNNNNNNNNNNNNNNNNNNNNNNNNNNNNNNNNNNNNNNNNNNNNNNNNNNNNNNNNNNNNNNNNCAUGGACUGCUAGAUGCUCCACUGAGAAGAAAAAGACCUUGUGGAUUGCAGAGAAAAGGGGGCUGUAUGUGUGUGUUCCAGUGUACGUAAUCGGAGCUAUUAUCGCCUUUUCGGUUAAGUCAAGGCAGAAUGUACACAGAACAGUAAGGGCAACGCAUUCUUGGUACUACAUAGAUGAAAUCAUUUUGGGGAAUUCAAGAGCUUAUGCUGGUUUGAUACUGGAUGCCUUUCUUUUCCCUCAAAUCAUCUUCAACAUGUUCCACAACUCGAGAGAACUGGCUCUUUCUCGACUCUUUUACAUCGGAAUCACCCUUGUUCGCCUCAUACCCCAUGGAUAUGAUCUGUACAGAGCAAACAAAUAUGCUGAUAUAGAUGACUCGUACAUGUACGGAGUUCAUGGUGCAGAUUACUACUCAACUGCUUGGGACUUCAUUAUUAUAUUGUGUUGGGUAUAUUCUUUGCUGUGAUCAUACACUACCAACAGCGCCUCGGUGGUCAAUAUUUCCUUCCGAAGAGAUUCCAAGAAUCUGUGAUAGAUGAGGAAUUUCAGAUAGAUGAGGAAUUUCCGGUAGAUUCGGAAGAACAAUUGCCAUUGUGAUAUAACACCUAGUGCAUGCUUUAAGUACUAAAUACUUUUGUUACCAUGGACUUGUUUUUAGUACUGAUUCGAAAUAAUAAAUAGAAAUGUUCUACAAAAUGUUCUAUUGUUGCUUGGGUGAGGGUUAGGUAAGAAUAUAUGUCCAAUAUGAAUAAAUUUGAAGAGUACGUCUCCUUAUCCAUGUUUAAAUAUAUAUCCAACAUGUUUAAAUAUGAAUAAAUUUGAAGAGUACAUCUCCUUAUCCAUGUUUAAAUAUGUAUCCAACAUGGAUACAAAGAGAAUAUUUAAACUGAUAAUAAUUCAUUAAUCAUACGAAGUCCAUAGAUAUGACCAUUCCAUCAUAGUGUACAAUGAGACUCAGACAUAAGACAAACAGGCAUGAAAACGCACUCAAUGUCUCAAACUACAACAACAAAACACCAAUUUAUUCAACUCAAUUUCAUUAUUUUUAGGUCCUAAUAUUGCUAUGGACUAAAACAUCAUGGUUCUAUGUCUACUUAAUGAGUGCCACAUGUGCAGUUUGUGCAGCUGCAGCUAUCUCCACACUUGCACUUGCCAUCGUUCCCUGCCACAGCCUUGACCACUACAGUGCUGAUGUAGCUGCAAAGAAAUAUCACAACAGAUUAUAUUUAAGCAUAUGUGUGUUGAGAGCUGGACUGCAAUGCAACAUGAAGCCAGCAGCUAUCGAGCUCAGCUCAUUUUGCUUGGUGCGCAAGAAUGAAACUCAACCGAAUGAAGCAACCGAUUUUAAUCAUUUUGUUGUAAUGAUAUUUAGCUUAGUUCAAUUGUAACCAACUCUUAAAGUUAGUAGGAUUAAGUUUAUGAUUUGAUUUUUGAUGUAAAAGCUGAUAUGUCAGCUUAUCUUUUUAGUUGUUUAAGUUUGUAUUAGUUAAGCAUUAGUGGAGGCAGUUAGAUUAUUAGGUAACUGUCAUUUGAGCCAAAAUUGUAACUCCUUUUUAUUUCAAAUUUGAAUGAAAAAAUGGCAAUGUUCAGUUACAAAAAAAAAUUUGUCUGUGCAUUCAAGUUUCUUGCUGUUCUGCUUGUUUUCCUUUUGCUCGAUCACCUUUGCUUCUGUCUUGUUACUUUGUUUGCUGUAAAUGCUGCCAAUGUUCCAACAAAUGGUAUCAUGAGCCUGAAUCUUUGAGGGGCCUUUGUAUGCAAUCUGUUGUGUUCAAAUUAAAACCAACAGCAAAGUUCAAGAUUUAAAAAGAUCGAAGCUUUUUAAACUCAGUCUAGCAGGAUGAAUUUUACUCCACCACCUCCACCAGUGUUCACUGGAGAAAACUAUCACAUUUGGAUAGUCAAAAUGAAGACUUACCUUCAGGCAUACGAUCUUUGGAGUGUGAUCGAGAAUGAUGCUGAACCACCUCCAUUGAGAGCUAAUCCCACUAUAGCACAAAUGAGACAGCAUGCAGAGGAGAGAGCCAAGAAGCACAAGGCUAUGGCUUGCUUGCAAAAUGGAGUCUCUGAUGUGAUAUUCACUCGCAUCAUGGCCUGUGACUCACCUAAGCAGGCCUGGGAGAAGUUGAAGGAGGAGUUCAUGGGAGUUCAUGGGGACUGACAAGACAAGGCAACAACAAGUGAUUAAUCUCAGGAGAGACUUUGAGAAUUUGAGAAUGAAGGAGUCUGAGACCAUCAAGUAGUACUCAGACAGGAUAAUGACCAUUGUCAACAGCAUUAGGCUCCUGGGAGUGGACUUCACAGAGAGCAGAAUUGUUGAAAAAGUUAUCACAACUCUCCCUGAGAAAUUCGAGUCAAAAAUCUCUUCACUUGAGGACUCAAGGGACUUAUCAGCCAUUUCAUUGUCUGAGCUGAUAAACUUCUUGUAUGCAUUUGAGCAAAGGAGGGCAAAUAGGCAGGAGGAGAAUCCUGAGGCUACUUUCCAGGCUAAAGCCAGUGAAAGCUCGAGUGUGAGUGCAAAAGGCAAGAAGCCUUGGCACAAUAGAAGGGUCAAGUCAGGAAGAGAUGAAGCAAAAAGAGUGUUCCCACCAUGUGUUCACUGCAAGAAGACAACACAUUCAGAAAAGUAUUGUUGGUUUAGGCCAGAUAUCCAGUGCAGAAAGUGCAAGCAGUUUGGCCAUGUUGAGAAGGUGUGCAAGGGCAAACCAAGGGAGGCUGCUCUGCAACAAGCUAGACCUGCUGAGGACAUGCAAGCUCAGGAGGAGCAUGUAUUCACAGCAACCUGUUUUGUUGGCACAACUAGGGCCAGCAAUGAUUGGCUACUAGACAGUGGCUGCUCACAUCAUAUGGCAGUAGAUGAGAAGCUGUUUAAGGGCCUAGACAGAAGCUUUCACUCGAGGAUCAGAAUUGGAGAUGGCAAGCUGAUUGAAGCUAAGGGCAAGGGCAAUGUGUUGGUUAGCACUGGUUCAGGUAAGAAGCUAAUAUCAUAUGUACUUUUUGUACCUGACUUAGACCAGAAUCUGCUUAGUGUAGGCCAAUUGGUUGAAAAAGGGUAUACCUUGGUCUUUAAAAAUGGUUGCUGCAUUGUUCAACACAUGAAUGGUCUGGAGUUAGUCACAGUCUCUAUGACUGAUAGGUGCUUCAUGCUGGAUGUUAGCCAAGUAGAAAGGAAGGCAUACACCAGCCUUGCUGACAACACUGACUUAUGGCAUAGGAGACUUGGCCAUACCAACUUCAGAUCUAUUUAUCUGCUACAUAGGCUAAAUUUGGUUGAUGACAUUUCAAAGAUUGAGGUUAGUGGGAAUGUUUGUGAGGUUUGUCAGCUUGGUAAGCAGGCUAUACUGCCUUUUCCUGCUGACAGUGCUUGGAGAGCUCAGAAUAAGCUCGAAUUGGUGCACUCUGAUGUUUGUGGUCCCAUAAGAAUACCUUCAAUCAAUGAGAACAGGUACUUUGUCCUGUUUAUAGAUGAUUUAACAAGGUUGUGCUGGGUCUACUUCUUGAAGCAAAAGUCAGAAGUGUUUGAAGCCUUCUGCAAAUUUAAGGCAUAUGCUAAAAAUCAGUCAGGCUGCAAAAUUAGAGCCUUAAGGACUGAUAAUGGCUCUGAAUAUGUGUCUGAGAGAUUUCAGAAGCUUUGUGACAAUGCUGGGAUUCAUCAUCAACUUACAACAGUCUAUACUCCUCAACAGAAUGGAGUCUGUGAGAGGAAGAAUAGGACUGUGCUGAACAUGGCCAGGUGUCUCUUGUUUAAAGGCAAGCUUCCAAGCCAGUUUUGGGCUGAGGCAGUUAACACCUCAGUGUACUUGCUCAACAGGCUACCAACUCGAGCAGUCAAGGAUAAGACUCCUUUUGAGGCCUGGCAUGGAGUCAAACCAGUUGUAACACACCGAAAAGUGUUUGGCUGUGUGUGUUAUACUCUUAUUCUAGUAGAGAAGAGGACUAAGCUCGAGAGUAGGGCUGCGCCAGGAAUCUUUGUUGGCUAUAGCAGCAACAAGAAGGGUUAUAAAGUGUAUGAUCCUACAGCAAAGAAGGUCUUAGUUAGCAGGGAUGUGAAAUUUGGUGAGGAUAAGGUGUGGAAUUGGAAUGGUGUUGAAGCUGAUAUGUCUGAAAUGGACCAGUUAGACUUGGUUGUUGAACCUGCAGAAGAAGGACUAAGUGAUGAUGCUGUUGAUGAUACACCAGUAAGGGGCACCAGAACUUUGGCUGAUGUUUAUUAGAGGUGCAAUUUUGCUGUGAUUGAGCCCUCAGACUUUGAAGAGGCUGUUAAGGACAAAAGCUGGAUGAAGGCUAUGGAAGCUGAGUUGGAAAUGAUCAAUAAAAAUCAGACAUAGGAAUUGGUGAGCAGACUAGAACACAAGAAGGUCAUAGGAGUCAAAUGGGUGUACAGGGCCAAGUACAAUGCUGAUGGCUCACUGAACAAGUACAAGGCUAGGCUUGUAGUGAAGGGCUACAGUCAGCAAUAUGGAGUGGAUUUUUUGGAGACAUUUGCACCAGUAGCAAGACUGGAUACAAUCAAGCUGCUAUUUGCUUUAGCAGCUCAGAAGAAGUGGAGGGUUCAUCAAUUUGAUGUAAAGUCGGCAUUCCUGAAUGGUUUUCUCAAGGAGGAGAUCUUCAUCGAGCAACCAGAAGGUUUUGAAGUUGCUGGACAUGAAGACAAAGUAUACAAGCUGAGAAAGGCCCUUUAUGGCCUGAAAUAGGCACCAAGGGCCUGGUAUGACAGAGUUGAUGCUUACCUGACCAAGCUUGGAUUUAUGAAGAGUCUUAGUGAGCCUACUCUGUAUGUUAAAAGGUCAGAAUUUGAAACCUUGCUGAUUGUCUCCUUGUAUGUGGAUGAUUUGUUAGUGACAGGGAGCAAAGUUGAGCUCAUUGAUGAGUUCAAGGUUCAAAUGCAGCAAGUGUUUGAGAUGACUGAUUUGGGGGUCAUGACAUACUUCCUUGGUAUGGAAGUUCACCAAUCUGAUCGAGGCAUCUUCAUCAGCCAACACACAUUUGCUUUGAAGAUUCUUGGCAAAUUUUGCAUGCAAAACUGUAAAGCAGCAAGUACACCUAUGGCUCAUGGAGAAAACUUGACUAGCAGUGGUGAUCAGCAAAGGGUGGAUGAGAGGCAUUAUCGAAGCCUAGUAGGCUGCUUGUUGUAUCUAAUAGCAACCAAGCCAGACAUCAUGUUUGGUGUUAGUUUGCUAUCGAGGUUCAUGCACUGCUGUAAUGAGACACAUUUGAAGGCUGCAAAAAGGGUUCUUAGAUACAUCAAAGGCUCAGCUAACCUUGGGGUGAUGUUUGAAAGUGGGAAGGAAUUAAAAUUGGAAGGCUACUGUGACAGUGACUGGGCAGGAUCCCUCGAUGACAUGAAGAGUACCUCUGGAUACUUCUUCACACUUAGAUCGGGCAUGUUUUGCUGGAGUUCAAAGAAGCAACAAACUGUUGCUCAGUCCACAGCUGAAGCAGAGUACAUUGCUGUAGCAGCAGUAGUCAAUCAGGCCAUUUGGCUUAGGAAGUUGCUUCAGGAUCUUAAUGAAACACAAGCUGAUGCAACUGAAAUUUGGGUGGACAACCAGACAGCAGUUGCCAUAGCCAAGAAUCCUGUGUUCCAUGGUAAAACUAAAUAUUUUAAAAUUAAACUGCAUUUUGUUCGAGAAGCUGGACAAGCAAAGGAAGUCAACCUUGUGCAUUGCAGCUCAGGGGCACAAUUGGCUGAUAUACUGACCAAACCCUUAGGGGCUGCUCGAUUUGAAUUAUUGAGAAGUGCAAUUGGAAUGUGUUGCAUACAGUCCAAGGAAGAGUGUUGAGAGCUGGACUGCAAUGGAACAUGAAGCCAGCGGCUAUCAAGUUCAGCUCAUUUUGCUUGGUGCGCAAGAAUGAAACUCGACCGAAUGAAGUAACCGAUUUUAAUCAUUUUGUUGUAAUGAUAUUUAGCUUAGUUCAAUUGUAACCAACUCUUAAAGUUAGUAGGAUUAAGUUUAUGAUUUGAUUUUUGAUGUAAAAGCUGAUAUGUCAGCUUAUCUUUUUAGUUGUUUAAGUUUGUAUUAGUUAAGCAUUAGUGGAGGCAGUUAGAUUAUUAGGUAACUGUCAUUUGAGCCAAAAUUGUAACUCCCUUUUAUUUCAAAUUUGAAUGAAAAAACGGAAAUGUUCAGUUGCAAAAAAAAAUUUGUCUGUGGAUUCAAGUUUCUUGCUGUUCUGCUUGUUUUCCUUUUGCUCAAUCACCUUUGCUUCUGUCUUGUUACAUUGUUUGCUGUAAAUGCUUCCAAUGUUCCAACAAUGUGUUCGACUGUGCAAGACAUAGCUCCUUUUUUUGCUUCUCUAGGCAAGAAUAUGAUUACUUAUCCAAAUGGGUUCAAUUUUGGUUAAAUUAUUCAAUAUUGGUCCUAAUAUACCUCUUUUCAGUCUCAAUGACCAAGCUAUUUCCUUUCUUCCUGUAAGCAUAACAAAAAAAGCCUUCAGUUUCAAUGAUAAUUGAUUGCAAACUCAUGCAUUUAGUCACAUCAACCUUAAUAAAUUUAUAUCUUAUCUAUGAAAAAAUUUAUAAUUAAAUUUCGACCGCUAUUAAAUAUUUUUUUUGAAUUUUCCCUAGUAGUAUGCAGCUAAAAACCAUGCAGAACUAACUUAGGAACAAUAACAAAAUCAAAGAACCACACACAACAGUAGAAACUGGUCGAAAGCUGAUGAUGGAAGGAUGAUUUCUUGCACGCACUGGCUCUUGUCAGAGUAGUCGCAGUUGCCGCACUUUCCAGACAUGGUGAAUUUGAAAGAGUUGAGAGGUAAAAAGUUUGUUUGAGUUUCUAAAGUAGUUAAGCUAACUUGCGAUGUAUAUCUAAAGCUAUGCACUUGUUGUAUUUAUAGAAGAGGAAGUACAUUGAAAUGGUGCAAAGGGAAGGCAUCUGUAGGGGCCCAAGCAGGCAUAAGAGAAGCACACGCCUCUGUUACAAGAGUUCAAAGGAAAGGAAUCUUUGUUGGAACAAUGGCAGCAUGUAUCAACCCAAUUAGCAAGCAGAACCAAAUGAGAUCGAAGCAGAAAAGAAAACAAAGCAAAAACAAUAAACAAGACUUGAAUAUUCAGCAAAAUGUAACUGAACAACUUAACUUUUUCAUUCAAAUUUGAAAAACAUAUACUGGAGUUACAAUUUGACUUAGUUGAUAGUUACCUAAUGAUAUAACUGCUCCCACUUAAACUAAACUAAUACAAGCUUAAGUCAAAUACAAAGAUAAGCUGACAUACCAGCUUUUACAUAAAAAAUCCAAUCACAAACUUAAUCCUACUAACUUUGGAAGCUAGUUAAAACUGAACUAAGUAAAAUUACAUAGCAACAAAAUGACCAAAUUAGAUUACUUCAUUCGGUCCAGUUUCAUCCUUGCGCACCAAGCAAUGCUGCUGAGCUCGAUGGCCAACCAUGCUGCUGGUUUCAUGCUGUAAUACAGUCCAGCUUUUAACACUCCUCAUUGGACUGUAUGUAACACAUACCAAUUGCACUUCUCAAUGCCUCAAAGCAAGCAACUCCUAAUGGCUUAGUUAGCAUAUUAGCCAAUUGUGCCCCUGAGCUACAAUGAACAAGGCUGACUUCCCUUGUUUGCUCAGCCUCUCGAACAAAAUGCAACUUAAUCUUAAAGUGCUUAGUUUUACCAUGGAACACAGGGUUCUUAGCUAUGGCAACUGCUGAUUAAUUGUCCACCCAAAUCUCAGUUGCUUCAGCUUGAGUUUCAUUAAGGUCUUGAAGCAGUUUCCUAAGCCAAAUGGCCUGAUUAGCAGCUGUUGCAGCUACAAUGUACUCUGCUUCAGCUGUAGAUUGAGCAACAGUCUAUUGCUUCUUUGAACUCCAGCAAAACACAUUCGAUCCAAGUGUGAAGAAGUAUCCAGAGGUACUCUUCAUGUCAUAAAGGGAUCCUGCCCAGUCACUGUCUGAAUAACCUUCAAGUUUCAACUCCUUUCCACUUUUAAACUUUACACCAAAGUUUGCUGUCCCUUUGAUGUAUCUAAGGAGCCUCUUUGCAGCCUUCAAAUGAGCCUCAUUACAGUAGUGCAUGAACCUUGAUAGCAAACUGACACCAAAUACAAUGUUUGGCCUAGUUGCUGUUAAAUACAACAGGCAACCUACUAGGCUUCGAUACUGCCUUUCAUCAACCCUUUCUUGAUCGCCACUGCUAGUCAGUUUUUCUCCUUGAGCCACAGGUGUGCUUACUGUUUUACAGUUCUGCAUACAAAAUUUAACAAGGAUCUUCAAAGCAAAUGUGUGUUGGCUGAUGAAGAUGCCUCGAUCAGACUGGUGCACUUCUAUUCCAAGGAAGUAUGUCAUGAUCCCUAAGUCAGUCAUCUCAAACACUUGCUGCAUUUGAACCUUGAACUCAUCAAUGAGCUUAGUUUUGCUCCCUGUCACUAAUAAAUCAUCCACAUACAAGGAAACAAUCAACAAGGUCUCCUGUUCUAACUUCUUAACAUAAAUGGUAAGUUCAUUAGGACUUUUCACAAAUCCAAGUUUGGACAGAUAGGUGUCAACUCUGUCAUACCAGGCUCUUGGCCUGCUUCAGGCCAUAAAGAGCCUUUCUCAGCCUGCACACCUUGUCUUCAUGUCCAGCAAUCUUAAAUCCAUCUGGUUGCUCAAUGAAGAUCUCCUCCUUGGGAAAACCAUUCAGAAAUGCUGAUUUCACAUCCAAUUGGUGAACCCUCCAAUGUUUCUGAGCUGCUAAAGCAAAUAGGAGCUUGAUUGUGUCCAGUCUUGCUACUGGUGCAAAUGUCUCCAAGAAUUCAACACUAUAUUGCUGAUUGUAGCCCUUCACCACAAGCCUAGCCUUAACACCUAUGACCUUCUUAUGGUGUUACGCCUAGUCUUAACACCAUAUUGCUAUUAAUUGUGCUUGUUCAAUGAGCCAUCACCAUUAUAUUUGGUUCUGUACACCCACUUAACACCUAUGACCUUCUUGUGGUCUUGUCUGUCACUAAUUCCCAUGUUUGAUUCUUGUUUAUCAUCUCCAACUUAGUUUCCAUAGCUUUCAUCCAGUUCCUAUCUUUGGCAGCCUCUUCAAAAUCUGUAGGCUCGAUCACAGCAAUACUACACCUCUAAUAAACAUCAGUCAAGGUUCUGGUGCCCCUCACUGGUGUAUCAUCAAUAGCAUCAUCAAUUGGUCCCUUUUCUGUAUGCUCAAUAACCAAGUCCAUCUGAUCCAUUUCAAACAUGACUGCCUCAGUACCAUUCCAGUUCCACACCUUUUCUUCAUCAAAUUUCACAUCUCUGCUGACUAAGACCUUCUUUGUUGAAGGAUCAUACACUCUAUAACCCUUCUUGUUACUGCUGCAGCCAACAAAGACUCAUGAAAUAGCUCUGCUCUCGAGCUUGGUUCUCUUUUCCACUAGAACAUGUGCAUAGCACACAUAGCCAAAAACUUUCAGGUGAGUUACCACUGGUUUGACUCCAUGCCAAGCCUCAAAAGGUGAUUUACCCUUGACUGCUCGAGUUGGCAGCCUAUUGAGCAGGUAUACUGAGGUGUUGACUGCCUCAGCCCAAAACUGACUUGGAAGCUUGCUUUGAAACAACAAGCAUCUGGUCAUGUUUAGCACUGUUCUAUUUUUCCUUUCACAAACUCCAUUCUGUUAAGGAGUAUAGACUGUUGUAAACUGAUGGUGAAUCCCAGCAUUUUCACAAAGCUUCUGAAAUCUAUCAGACACAUAUUCAGAGCCAUUAUCAGUCCUCAAGGCUCUAAUUUUACAACCUGACUGAUUUUCAGCAUAUGCCUUAAAUUUGCAGAAGGCCUCAAAUACCUCUGACUUUUGCUUCAAGAAGUAGACCCAACACAACCUUGUUAGAUCAUCUAUAAACAGGUAAAAUACCCGUUGUCACUGAUUGAAGGUGUUCUCAUAGGACCACAAACAUCAGAAUGCACUAAUUCGAGCUUAUCUUGAGCUCUCCAAGCACUGUUAAUAGGAAAAUGCAGUCUAGCCUGCUUACCAAGCUGACAAACCUCACAAACAGUCCCACUAGCUUCAAUUUUAGACAUGUCUUCAACCAAAUUUAGUCUAUGCAACAUAUCAAUGGAUCUGAAAUUAGCUUGGCCUAAUCUCUUAUGCCACAAGUCAGUGCUAUCAGCAAGGCUGGUGUAUGCCUUUCUUUCCACUUGGCUAACAUCCAGCAUGAAGCAUUUAUCAGCCAUAGAGACUGUAACUAGCUCCUGACCAUGCAUGUCUUGAACAAUACAAUAGCCAUCCUUAAAGACCAAUGUAUAGCCCUUUUCAACUAAUUGGCCUACACUAAGCAAGUUCUGGUCUAAGUCAGGUACAAAGAGCACAUCAGUGAUUAGCUUGUUACCUGAGCCAGUGUUGACCAACACAUUGCAUUUGCCUUUAACCUCAAUUAGCUUCCCAUAUCCAAUUCUGAUCUUCGAGUAGAAGCUUCUAUCUAGCCCUUUAAACAGCUUCUCAUUAGCUGCCAUAUGGUGUGAGCAGCCACUGUCUAGUAGCCAAUCAUUGCUGGCCUUUGUUGUACCAACAAAACAGGUUGCUGUAAACACAUGCUCCUCUUGAGUUUGCAAAUCCUCAGCAGGUCGAGCCUGUUGCUGAGUGACCUCCUUUGGCCUGCCCUUGCACACCUUUUCCACAUGACCAAACUGCUUGCACUUCUUGCAUUGGAUGUCUGGCCUAAACCAACAGUAUUUUUCUGAAUGAGUUGUCUUUUUGCAGUGAACACAUGGUGGAAACACCCUUUUUGCUUCAUCUCUUCUUGGUUUGACCCUCCUAUUGUGCCAAGGCUUUUUGCCUUUUGCACUUGAACUCGAGCCUUCACUGGCUUUUGCCUGGAAAGUAGCUUUAGGAUUUUCCUCCUGUCUAUUUGCCCUCCUUUACUCAAGUGCAUACAGGGAGUUUAUCAGCUCAGAAAAUGAAAUGGCUAAUAAGUCCCUCGAGUCCUCAAUUGAAGAGAUCUUUGACUCAAAUUUCUCAGGGAGAGUUGUGAUGACCUUUUCAACAACUCUGCUCUCUAUGAAGUCCACUCCAAGGAGCCUUAUGCUGUUGUCAAUGGCCAUUAUUCUGUCUGAGUACUGCUUAAUGGUCUCAAACUCCUUCAUCCUCAAAUUCUCAAAGUCUCUCUUGAGAUUGAUCACCUGUUGCUGCUUUAUCUUGUCAGUCCCCAUGAACUCCUCCUUUAGCUUCUUCCAUGCCUGCUUUGGUGAGUCACGGGCCAUGAUGCGAGUGAAUAUCACAUUAGACACUCCAUUUUACAGACAGGCCAUAACCUUGUGCUUCUUGGAUCGCUCCUCAGCAUGCUGCCUCAUUUGAGCAAUAGUGGGAUUGGCUCUCAAUGGAGGUGGUUCAGCUUCAUUCUCGAUUCCACUCCAAAGAUCGUGUGCCUGGAGGUAUGUCUUUAUUUUAACUAUCCAGAUAUGAUAGUUUUCUCCAGUGAACGCUGGUGGAGGUGGUGGAGUGAAACUCAUUCUUCUUGUUUGAGUUUAACUGCUUUAAUCUUCUCUAAUUUUAAGCUUUGCUUUUGGUUUUGGUUUGAACACAACAAAAUGCAAAGGCCCCUCAAAGACUCGGGCUCAUGAUACUAUUUGUUGGAACAAUGGCAGCAUGUAUCAACCCAAUUAGCAAGCAAAACCAAAUGAGAUCGAAGCAGAAAAGAAAACAAAGCAAAAGUAAUAAACAAGACUUGCAUAUUCAGCAAAAUGUAACUGAACAACUUAACUUUUUCAUUCAAAUUUGAAAAACAUAUACUGGAGUUACAAUUUGACAUAGUUGACAGUUACCUAAUGAUAUAACUGCUCCCACUUAAACUAAACUAAUACAAGCUUAAGUCAAAUACAAAGAUAAGCUGACAUACUAGCUUUUACAUAAAAAAUCCAAUCACAAACUUAAUCCUACUAACUUUAGAAGCUAGUUAAAACUGAACUAAGUAAAAUUACAUAACAACAAAAUGGCCCAAUCAGAUUACUUUAUUUGGUCCAAUUUCAUCCUUGCGCACCAAGCAAUGCUGCUGAGCUCGAUGGCCAACCAUGCUACUGGUUUCAUGUUGCAAUGCAGUCCAGCUUUCAACAAUCUUGAUAAUGGAGGCAAAGGAAUGGUUGGCUUACUGUCCUCCUUUUAUGUCUAUAUCAUUUGGAAUUUUCUUUUAGGUUGUCUUUUAGAAUGUAAUCCCAAAAUCUAUGCAAUACGGACUCUACCCAAAAAGAAAAAUCAAAUUCAACUUUGAAUUGGUGCUGCCUUAUCAGGAUCAUAGUUUUCAAAGACAUUAGGAUUUUGAUCUAAAUAAAAAUCUUACAAAUAAAUAAGUGAUGUGUAUUUGAGAGCACCAAAAAUAUCCUAUUCCUAUAAAAUAACAAAAAGAAUAAUAUAAGGUAAGUAGGGUCAAAUCCUUAGGGACUGGACUUGCACAAGUUCCUUUUUCUCGAGAAACUAAGUAGUGUCGUGCCCAAGAAAAACGACAUACCUGAAAAAAAUAGAAUUAAAAGUUUGGUUGAAUUGACAUUACGUAAAUUGAAAUUAAAAUUGUAAAAGUAAAUAGAGUUGAGAAAAGAGAGUUUUUGAUGGAGAGAUUUCAACCUUCGAUUAUCUCGAUCCUCUUUCGGUUCAAUCCUAGGCUUUUAGGUGAUCCUUCUCGAACAGAAUAAGCCAGUUAUAAUGGAAGAGGAUGCCUACGACCACUAGCUCCACUUAAGUUUUAGACUUACGAUUUAGAGGAACUUGACCCUAGCCAACCAUUGCUUCUGUGGACCGUCUUACACUAGAUCAUCACUUCUCAAUGGCGAAUGCCACACUAUCUUGUCUCUUGGGCUCGACAACCACUGACACAGUAGGCUAACGAACUGACUAUGCAACCUUAUCAACACAUACAAAGCGGCCGCCUUUGCACAAGAUUAAAAAAUAACUUUUGAAGGGACAUGGACGAAGUGUCAGUCCUGUAGUACGGAGAAACGAUGAAUACUCGUUGAAAAGACUAAGUUCAGAUUCUAAGCCUCAUGAAUCCUUUUGGGGAAUCUCAAAAACCUUUGGCUAGAUUAAUUUAGUGGCUCAUGCUUUUUGGGAAAAAAGAAAUAAAAUUAAUAAAAAUGAAAUUUUAUUGAAUAAACGAAAGGAACAAAGCUAGAGCUUUUUGGGAGAGGGAGCUUUUACAGAAAAGAUAGUGAAAUUGGUGUCAAUCCAUCCCCUAUUUAUAGUACUCAGAAGACAUAGUUUAUUCCUAUCUAAAUUUUAAAAGAUAAAUAAAGAUAAAAUCUAAAAUUAAAUCUUAACAAUAAUCCUAAUAUAAUUAAAAUUUAAAUAGAGUAGUGUGUUUAUAAAAUCUCUUCUUUAAACUGUUGCCCCCCAAGUCUUCCACACUUUGCAUUUUCAGCACCAUUUCUUUCCUAGUUCGCAUGUUGGCCCAUUUUAUCUUCAAAUUCAUGCUUUUGGCCCCUAAAUUUUAUUUUUCCUUCAAUUUAGUCCCUACAAAAUAAAACACCAUAAAUAGCUCAAAAUAGUAGGAUCAUACUCAAAAUAAAUAUGUAAUUAAUACAUAAAAAUAUGUCAUUCCAGAGUAUUACCAAUAAGAAUUAAUUGCACUAAAAAUUUUAAAACGUUCUAAUUAUGUCUCCACACUAUCACACUAUCGUACUGUAACAGAGUCAGUUGACAUAGGAGUCCAUGCGUUAUAAAACAGAUUUAUCAAAACUUAACAAAUAAUAUCAGAUUUUUCAUGAAGUCACAUGCACGGUUAUAAGUUAGAGUCAAUACCAAUCAAUUCAACAUAUUCGUAUAUCACAUGUUCUUAAGCAACAAAGUAACGUAAAGGAACACCAACAAACUUAACUGAAUACAAAUUGUACCUAGAUAAUUCCCAUGCAUUAGGCAAGGGCACAUUAUGUUCUGACAGACCCUACUUACUUAGGUUCAACAUAGCAGACAUAUGUAUAGAUCACAAGUUAUUCAUCAUUAGAUUAUCAGAUAUCAAAUUAUAUAGCUUAAUUAUGAUCGUACGGACCCUACAGUAGGCCUGUGUUCGUUUCGAAUGAUGCUUGUGGCCUGAGGAAAAAAUUUCAAAUAUUGGUCCACACGUUUGUGUGGUUUCACAUGGCUUGGAAAGCUGGCUCGCGUGCCUCCAUAUGGUUUGGCACACGCCCGUGUGCUUACCCGUGUGGUCCUAAUUUGCAAAUAGUGGGUUACACGGCCUAGACACAUGCUAGUGUCAUUGGCCUAUGUGAAUCCUACUCAACACAUAAACACACAUGGUCUGGACACACUCCCUGACACAAACUUUAAAUCAAACUUAUAGGUAACGAAUUGAACCAGAAAGUAGAAGUCUAAUCUCGUACGUGAUCAAUUUGGCGUAACAUAACAAAAAAGAAAGGUAGUUUGAAGAGAGUAAUCAAAACGAAAAAAAUAAAGAAAGAACAGAGGAAUGGUAACAAUAGAAACGAAAAGUAAAAAGAAAAACUAAACAUAGGUCAUUAAACCAGCAAGCUCAUUCUUGUCAUCAAUUGACUAAAUUUAACUUUUAACCCACAUGUCCAAAGACAGUGGUUUAAUCAAAGUAGCAAAAUUUCAAGAGAUAAGAUUCGGACCUAGAACCUCACAUACAUAAUUAGAACACUUAACCACUAAACCAAACUAAUUUACUUACCAAAAAUUUCCAAAGUCUAAACUCAAAUCGAGGGAUGACCACUCUUGGUUUCAAAACUCAAUUUCUUCUAACCCGAUUUUUGGGAUGUUACAUAUAUCACAUAUGUUGACACCACUUACUGGGGGUGCUAAGGCUUCUUUUGCCUGCCCCAACUAUACCCCUGAUUUUGUUUUCUCAAAUUUCACUUUCUCAAGAAAUGUUCCAUUUGACAACCAAAAUGGUAGCAUCUAGGUUGGGAAGAUUGAUGGAGAAUUUCACCUUUGCCUCAUUUAAAAAGUAUAAAUUCCUUAUCUUCAUGCAAGUCAUGAAUUCAAAAAAAGUGAAGAGAACAAAUUGAGAAAAAAAAAAAAAACUAUAUUCUUUUAAGAUUGCUAUCCUAUAGAAAGGUCAUUGUAAAAAGUUGAAUAUAUAUGUAUGUAUAUAGCUAGUAGCAUCAAAUUUUCCCAACCACUCUUAACAAUUAAAUAUAAUUAUUUGGUAUAUUGAAAGUGAAAUUUAAAUUUCCAUGUGAUAUUUAAAAACCGUAACAUGUUCUUAAUAAAUAUUUAUUUAUGAUAUAUAUAAAAACAUGAAUUUGAAGGAGGGGUGAAUAAAACUCGAUUCGAUUCGAAAAAUUAAAAAAAUUUAAAUUUUGAAUUAAUCGAUCAAGUUAUUCAAAUUUCGAGUUUGAGUCAAAUUAAAUUUUACAAUUUGAAUAACAGAUUUGUAUAAAAACCCUUUUGGUCCUUAUCAAUUUUGAAAAUGAGUAAAUUGGUCCCUCUCAACAAAACUUACAAAAAAAUUAAAAUAAUUUUCAAAAAUUCAAAAAUUUAUAUUUUUUAAAAAAUUAUAAAUUUUAAAAAAUUCUAAAGAAUAUAUAAAGAAAGUUAAAAUUUUAAAUUUUCUAAAAUAAUAAAUUUGAGAUCUAAAUAAGUUAAUUAAUAGGUUUGAGUUUAUCAUAUUAAAAUACCUUUUUUUUUUCUUUGCUUUGAAAAAGUUUUCAUAUAUAUAUGGUUUCAAAUUUAUGUGCUCUAACAUGAAAUUAGUUAUAUUGAAACAAUAUUUUAAUUUGACAUGUUUAAUUUUUUUAAUUUAACUUGAACAAUUUCACUCGACUUGAUUCGACUUGACUCGAAUUUCAUUUCACUCAACUUGAUUCAAAAAAAUUUUCAAAUCAAGUUAGGAUGAUAAAAUAAGACUUGUCAGUUCGAUUAACUUCGAAAUUUUUUCACUCGUUUCCAUCAAAUGCUCACUCCUAAUGUGAAGAAACUUUUGAACAGAUGAUGAUACUUUUUAUUAUUAAUUAUACUACUAAAUUGACAUUAAAAAUAAUUUAUUAGUAUCUUUUUCUGGUAGAUAAUAAUGAAUAUUAAUGUGAUAAUAAUGAAAGUAAUAUUAAUUAAUAGAAGAGUAUAUUAAUGUGAAAUUAAAUAAUUUCAGUAUAUCUUUUAAAAGUUCAUAAAAAAUUAUAUAUAUUAUUAAUAAUUAAAAUUUUAAAAUUUAUAAAAUAAAUUAAUGUAAUUAGAUAAAUUAAAAAAAUAAACAAAACUUUUUAAUUAAAUAGAUAUAAUUUUUAUAUAUAUUUAUGAUUUUAUUUUAAAUAUGAAAAUAAUUAAUCAUGUUAAAAUUAAUUUUUUAUAAUUAAUAAAAAUUAAAUCUAUAAAUAUGAUUUUAUUUUCAAUAUGGUAAUAAUUAUUUUACUAAUAAUGCUUUCAUUAUUAGUGUAAUAGUGAUUAUCACUUAAUUAUACUUUGAAUCCAUAUUAAAUUACGCUUAUUAUUUUAGAUUAUCACUUUACUAGUGUUACAAUUAUAUGCCAAUUAAAAUUAAUAUUUAACACUAUAAAUAUAUGCAUUAGUAAAAUAUUUUCAUUCAAAUAACAUCUAAAGAAUUACUCGAAAAAUCAUAUUUUAGGAUUUUAUUUGCAUCACAAAAAAAUGUAUGAUUAUUAUUAUUUUAUAAGAUUAGUUGUUAUUAUUUGAUAUUCGAAAGUUUUACUGUUAUUUGAUUUUAAUAACACUUAUGCUAACGAUGUAUAGAAUAAUUACUUUUUUUCUUACCAAACUUAAUUUUUUUUUUUGAAAUAUCUCAAUAUAGGUUCUAAUUAUAUUUGUUCAUCUUGACACAAUACUUAGAACUACUUACAACCCAUCCCCAACCCAUGAAUAGGAGGAUAAUGCGUUUCAGCGCACUCGAAUCCAAUUUCUCCUAUAUUGACAACAAUACCUAUAUUAAUCAAAUUAACACUCAAUCGACACCAAAUUUUAAUUUUUUAAUUUAUUAUUAAUUUAAAAUUUCGUAUCACCUAAACAAAAGGAGUGGGUUUGGAAAGAGUUACAAAAUAAAGCAAAUGGAAAUAAAAUCAAAGUUUGAAAAAAAUGGCUUGGAAGGUACAACUUGUGCUCUAUCUAUUUCCCUUUUUGUGUGGAAUUCCACUUAUUUAAUCAAUUAUCUCAAAAAGGUAGAAUUACAAAAUUCACCUCUAAUGUUCGUGAGUUUUUCACCUUGGCUCUUAACUUUUUUUUUUCUUCACUUUCCCACCCAUAGUGUUGCAAACAAUUUCAAGUAAGGCCAAACUUAAUGAAAAUCGUCAAGAAAUAUCAACAAAUAUUUUUGUCCAACGUGGCAACACCUUAGUUGAUGACAUCAUUGAUGACACAAAAUUUUUAGUUUAAAAUUAUAAAAAUUUAAAAAGAAGAGAAAAUUUUUAAAAUGUAGGAAAUAACAAAAUGUAAAAGCAUUUUUCUUCUACCCUCUCCCAAAUGUAACACGCCUAACCUGUAUUCGUCGCUGGAUUAGGGUUACAAUGUAUUACCGAUCAAGACAUAACUUUCAAACAAUUAUAUAUGCACACCUGUUAUAUUCAAAUUAAUAAAACAAAUGACUGAUUACAUAUUAAAUAUACAUUAUUAAUCGCAAAACAAAUAUAAUAUCUCAUGCAUAUAAUCAUAUUUACAACUUAAUAAUCAUGUACUUCAAAAUAAAUGCACGAAUCGUGUGCUUAUCAUUAAAAUGGUAUUUAAAUACAUAAUAAAUUUUAAACAUUUUAUUUCUUAAUAAUAACCAUGCACUUAAUAGACCAAACAAAUCAUAUCACAAAGCUUAUGCCCAAUCUCAUAUGCGGCAUUAACAAAUGUACCAAUUGAUUUAAUAUACUUCAUUGAGUAAUCAAUUAUAUGCACACGAUGUCAAUCAUACAAUCCUCAAUUCGGCUAGCCAAUUAACCUAUAAAAGCUGAACUCAAAUCAUGCAAUACUAACAUUAGCCGAAUCUGCAUGUGCAUAAAUACUAAUUUUAAACUUAUUUUCAAUUCAACUAUACAUCAAUAUAUAAUACUAAAACAUGCUUAUCUUCUUAUUACAAGAUUAUACGCAUAUGCAUACACCAACUGAGCCAUUUCCGAACAUCCAUUAUCCGAACCUAUUGACUAAAUAUUUUAGUCUUUGUACUCCUAUAAUAAACGUCAAUCAUAUUUCAUUUUCAUAUGCAUAACCAAAUUGAAUAACUUUAUAUAUGAAACAUCAACUUAAUAAUCCAAUAUUUCAUACUAUUUCUAACAAAAACGCUAUAUACGCAUAUAUUUAAUUUAUAAAAUACCAAAGAUGGUCGAUAGUGUGAUAGAAUUUUUUGACGAUCCCCGAGCUCGUAACCAACUUUCAAAAUCUAAAAAAAAACAAAGAGCAAACAUACACAUAGUAAGCUUUCACAGCUUAAUAAGUCAUAAGCAAUGGAAACAUUUAAUCAUAUACAAAAUUAAUCUAGUCAAACCGAAAUAAACCAUUAGUAACUCAUAUACCUUUCCAACUUAUAAUUUCAUAAGUCAAAACAUAUAAGUUUUGCAUAAAAUUCUCCUUUGACCGAAUACCCAUUCAAAUAUUAGUACACUUAACCAUUACUUUUUAUAAUACAUUUACAUUUACAUCAUUAGGCCUAACAUAUAUUAUCACAAAAUUCACAUUAAAAUAUAACAUUAUACUAUCAAUUCAACAUUCAACUUACCUUAUUUCUUUUUAUAUAACUAAUUAGUAAGAGUACGUAUCUGAGCAUUUCUAGCUUGAUUUUUCACUCGAUCUUAAUUUAUUAUUGUCCGUUGAACCAUUCGGAAUUAAAAAGGAUCUUAACUAUAAAUAUCUGCAUUAGUAAAAUAUUUUCAUUCAAAUAACAUCUAAAGAAUUACUCGAAAAAUCAUAUUUUAGAAUUUUAUUUGCAUCACAAAAAAUGUAUGAUUAUUAUUGUUUUAUAAGAUUAGUUGUAAUUAUUUGAUAUUCGAAAGUUUUACUAUUAUUUGAUUUUAAUAACACUUAUUCUAACGAUGUAUAGAAUAAUUACUUUUUUUUACCAAACUUAAAUUUUUUUUGAAAUAUCUCAAUAUAGGUUCUGAUUAUAUUUGUUCAUUUUGACACAAUACUUAGAACUACCUAUAACCCAUCCCCAACCCAUGAAUAGGAGGAUAAUGUGUUUCAGCGCACUCGAAUCUACGUUCUCCUAUAUUGACAACAAUAUCUAUAUCAAUCAAAUUAACACUUAAUCAACACCAAAUCACAAAAGAGAUAAGAGUUGAGAAAUGUUUAACAAAUACUGAAGAAGUCUUUGAUGACGACAUUGAUAACAAGCAAGAAAAAGUCAUAAAUCUAAAGUUCAAAUUAACACUUUACAAUUUUGAAUAACUAAAAUAUUUUAAACUAUUAAAUACUAUAAAAUAUUUUAUAUUUUUUUAGUAUUUUUUAUCUUUAUUUUAUUGUACAUAUUUGAGGUUUAUGAUUUUCUCUCUCAACAAUAUUGUCUCAAAAAUUUAAAUGAUGUGACUUAUCAUUGUAGGCAUUUGAUUGGUCCAAAUCAAAAUAUAACUCUUUCAACUGUGUGNNNNNNNNNNNNNNNNNNNNNNNNNNNNNNNNNNNNNNNNNNNNNNNNNNNNNNNNNNNNNNNNNNNNNNNNNNNNNNNNNNNNNNNNNNNNNNNNNNNNAUAUGAAUGAAAAGAAAUUAUAUAAUUAAUAUAUUAAUUAAAAAAAUUAUAUAAUGAGUAUUUACGGAUUGACUUAGCUAUAAUAAUAAUCAUAACCACUCGUUAUUGGAUUGAGGUUGAACACAAGUCUUGACUCUAAAACUUUAUUUAAUGUGAUAAAAUAUAAAUAAGUAUUAUUCAUACGAAUUUUUCCGCAAGCUCUUGUUCUUGGAAAUUUCCUAUGUCCAGUGAGAGAUGUACGGUAAUAACUAUAUAUUUAUGAUCAAUUUCGAAGUUUUUGCAAUAAGUUCUUAAUCACAGUCUUUCUGUCUGAAGAAAUUCAUGUCUAUGGCUGUGGACUGUUCCAUAUUCUGUAGGACGAAACUUUGUUUUAUUAAUGCUUUCUUCUUCCUGUUUAUCAUCUCCUCUUUCACAUGUCUUCAUGUAGUCUUCGGCACUGCAAAUGAAUUUGAUUAUGGCCUUCACUGUAACUCAAUUGUUCAUGAAUCCAAACCAGCUGAUGAGGAGUUCAAUAUCAUGCCUUUCUCUCGACGUCAAUAUGGUUACUUCAGUGGUGGUGAUAAAGACCCAAACAAUCCUCCUUCACGUUCGUACUCUGCACCCAAAUCUAAAAGGCUCCUUUUUGAGACUCACCACGUAUUUACAGCCGAAGCUGAUGAUGUCUUUAUGGUGGAAGGAAACCUGAUUUUUCAAACCUCGUUUUACUAUGAACGGAGUAUCUCCUCUGGAAGCUCAUACGUUAUAAGUUCAAGCGACCGUGGGACACUGGACUUCGAUUUUCGAGGCUUCUGGUCUCGAACAACCGGGAAGCUUUGCAUGGUGGGAUCGAGUCAUGCUUACUCCAAAGAAGGUAAACUGCUUCACCUUGCUGCUGUUCUUAAGAUUAAUAAUCUUCAGACUUCAAGUAAUAUUAGUACUUUAGUCACCGGUACCAUGGAUAGCUUGAGUUCUGCUAAUGAUCCAAAUCACUUUGAGCAAAUAUCACUGCUGAUGUUUCCUCGAGUAAAUUACGCUUACACCAUGAUUUCAAAUCAGUUCAGUGAAGGGUGUCCUGGGGGAAUCGAUGUCCAACCGAUGUCGUCCCUCCGCUUAUCGCAAACUCGAACUAUUUGUGAUAUGUUAGGUGGAAGCAAUGCUUUCAAAUUGGAGUAUACUGGCAGUUGUAAUUUUUCAAAGAGUUGCAAUCCAUUUGGUGAUGGUAUUGGAUCAGUAGUAUCAUUGCGUAUGAUUCAGUGCUCAAACGAUAGGCAAAGCUUGAGGCUUCUGAUAGAAUUUCGGAACGAUAGCUAUCAGGGAUACUAUAGCUCUCCCAAUCUCAACACUUCAUUAAUUGGAGAAGGAUCUUGGGAUGCAAAGAGUAAUCGGCUUUGUAUCAUUGCUUGCCGAAUUUAUGAUGCAUGGAGCUCCUUGGAGAAGUCUCAUGUUGGAGACUGCACGACACGGUUGAGCUUAAGAUUCCCGGCAAUCUUGUCUAUCAGAAACACAAGCACCAUUGUAGGAGAAAUUUGGAGUGAGAAGCCUAGGAAUGAAGGUGGUUUCUUUGAUAGGGUCGAGUUCCGAAAUACUGGACGUUAUGGAGGACGAAUUCAACUUCAAGGUUUGAAGUAUGUAUACACGGAAAUGGCCGAAGUGAAGAAAUCAUGUCCAAAGAAGAAUCCUAAGACUAAAAGCAGUAGGGGACACUACCCAGAUGGCUAUUCUGGUAAUCUGGGUUUUAGAAUGUCGAUCAUCAAAGGUUCCAAAGGAAGAAUCGGAUGGGGUUCUUCGGUUCCUCUUGCGGUAGGUGAUCAGCAAGAUCAGAGAUUUCCAUCUCUAAUACCAUCCUCAAGCUCAAAGCCUAAAAGUUCUCGCGUUGAAUCCGAUUCCAGCAGUGGCUUGCUUAAUAUCAGCUAUAAAAUGAGUAUCAUGCUGCGUAGUUCGGAAUUGGAUGGUGGCCUUAAUACGGUUAACGAAUCUUCAAAUGAAUAUUUGAAAACAGAAAUCCGAAUUUCUGCUGAAGGGGUUUAUGAUACAGCAACAGGUAGCCUAUGCAUGGUUGGCUGCAGACAUUUAAGGUCAGGUGACAAAACAUUUUCAAGCCAUUCGAUGGAUUGCAAGAUCCUGGUGAAAAUCAAUUUUCCUCCAUUGAACUCGGACAGGAGAAGUACGAUCAAAGGAAGCAUCGAAAGCACACGUGAAGAAAUCGAUCCUCUGUCCUUCAAGCCCCUGCAGUUUUCGGGAAGAGCUUAUUAUCGCAGUUGGGUUACGGAAUCAAUUUGGAGAAUGGAUUUCGAGAUGGACAUGUUGGUAAUAUCCNNNNNNNNNNNNNNNNNNNNNNNNNNNNNNNNNNNNNNNNNNNNNNNNNNNNNNNNNNNNNNNNNNNNNNNNNNNNNNNNNNNNNNNNNNNNNNNNNNNNUUCAUGUCAGGAAGCACCGUGGCAUUGGUCCUUUGGUUUCACUUCUAAUGCUUGUUAUUCUAGCCCUGGGGCACUUGAUCCCUUUGGUUCUAAACCUCGAAGCAAUGUUCAUUCAAGAUAGCAAGAGAUCGGUCUUGAUUAGAGGUGGAAGGUGGCUCGAAAUGAACGAGAUUAUCAUUAGAGUCGUUACCAUGGUGGCUUUUCUGCUGCAAGUCCGUCUUCUGAUGCUCUCAUGGACUGCUAGAUGCUCCACUGAAAAGAAAAAGACCUUGUGGAUUGCAGAGAAAAGGGGGCUGUAUGUGUGUGUUCCGGUGUACGUAAUUGGAGCUAUUAUCGCCUUUUCGGUUAAGUCAAGGCAGAAUGGACACCGAACAGUAAGGGCAAGGCAUUCUUGGUACUACAUAAAUAAAAUCAUUUUGGGGAAUUCAAGAGCUUAUGCUGGUUUGAUACUGGAUGCCUUUCUUUUCCCUCAAAUCAUCUUCAACAUGUUCCACAACUCGAGAGAACUGGCUCUUUCUCGACUCUUUUACAUCGGAAUCACCCUUGUUCGCCUCAUACCCCAUGGAUAUGAUCUGUACAGAGCAAACAAAUAUGCUGAUAUAGAUGACUCGUACAUGUACGGAGUUCAUGGUGCAGAUUACUACUCAACUGCUUGGGACUUCAUUAUUAUAUUGUGUUGGGUAUAUUCUUUGCUGUGAUCAUACACUACCAACAGCGCCUCGGUGGUCAAUAUUUCCUUCCGAAGAGAUUCCAAGAAUCUGUGAUAGAUGAGGAAUUUCAGAUAGAUGAGGAAUUUCCGGUAGAUUCGGAAGAACAAUUGCCAUUGUGAUAUAACACCUAGUGCAUGCUUUAAGUACUAAAUACUUUUGUUACCAUGGACUUGUUUUUAGUACUGAUUCGAAAUAAUAAAUAGAAAUGUUCUACAAAAUGUUCUAUUGUUGCUUGGGUGAGGGUUAGGUAAGAAUAUAUGUCCAAUAUGAAUAAAUUUGAAGAGUACAUCUCCUUAUCCAUGUUUAAAUAGGUAAGAAUAUAUGUCCAAUAUGAAUAAAUUUGAAGAGUACAUCUCCUUAUCCAUGUUUAAAUAUGUACCCAACAUGGAUACAAAGAGAAGAUUUAAACUGAUAAUAAUUCAUUAAUCAUACGAAGUCCAUAGAUAUGACCAUUCCAUCAUAGUGUACAAUGAGACUCAGACAUAAGACAGACAGGCAUGAAAACGCAUUCAAUGUCUCAAACUACAACAACAAAACACCAAUUUAUUCAACUCAAUUUCAUUAUUUUUAGGUCCUAAUAUUGCUAUGGACUAAAACAUCAUGGUUCUAUGUCUGCUUAAUGAGUGCCACAUGUGCAGUCUGUGCAGCUGCAGCUAUCUCCACACUUGCACUUGCCAUCGUUCUCUGCCACAGCCUCGACCACUACAGUGCUGAUGUAGCUGCAAAGAAAUAUCACAACAGAUUAUAUUUAAGCAUAUGUGUUGGACUGUGCAAAGCAUAGCUCCUUUUUUUGCUUCUCUAGGUAAGAAUAUGAUUACUUAUCCAAAUGGGUUCAAUUUUGGUUAAAUUAUUCAAUAUUGGUCCUAAUAUACCUCUUUUCAGUCUCAAUGACCAAGCUAUUUCCUUUCUUCCUGUAAGCAUAACAAAAAAAGCCUUCAGUUUCAAUGAUAAUUGAUUGCAAACUCAUGCAUUUAGUCACAACAACCUUAAUAAAUUUAUAUUUUAUCUAUGAAAAAAAUUAUAAUUAAAUUCCGACCGCUAAAAAAUAUUUUUUAUGAAUUUGCCCCUAGUAGUAUGCAGCUAAAAAACAUGCAGAACUAACUUAGGAACAAUAACAAAAUCAAAGAACCACACACAACAGUAGAAACUGGUCGAAAGCUGAUGAUGGAAGGAUGAUUUCUUACACGCACUGGCUCUUGUCAGAGCAGUCGCAGUUGCCGCACUUGUCAGACAUGAUGAAUUUGAAAGAGUUGAGAAGUAAAAGGUUUGUUUGAGUUUCUAAAGUAGUUAAGCUAACUUGCGAUGUAUAUCCAAAGCUAUGCACUUGAUGUAUUUAUAGAAGAGGAAGUACAUGGAAAUGGUGCAAAGGGAAGGCAUCUGUAGGGGCCCAAGCAGGCAUGAGAGAAGCACACGCCUCUGCUACAAGAGUUCAAAGGAAAGGAAUCUUGAUAAUGGAGGCAAAGGAAAGGUUGGCUUACUGUCCUCCUCUCAUGUCUAUAUCAUUUGGAAUUUUCUUUUAGGUUGUCUUUUAGAAUGUAAUCCCAAAAUCUAUGCAAUAUGGACUCUACCCAAAAAGAAAAAUCAAAUUCAACUUUGAAUUGGUGCUGCCUUAUCAUGAUCAUAGUUUUCAAAUUAGAAUUUUGAUCUAAAUAUAAAUUGAGAGUGCGAAAAAUAUCCUAUUCCUGUAAAAUAACAAAAAGAAUGGUAUAAGAUAAGUAGGGUUUAGAUAAGUAUUCUUGAACAGAAUAAACCAGUUAUAAUGGAAGAGGACGACUACGACCACCAAUUUCACUUAAAUUUUAGACUUACGAUUUAGAGAAACCUGAAAGAAAUAAACUUAAUAAAAAUGAAAUUUUAUUGAAUAAAUGAAAGGAACAAAAGUAGAGCUUUUUGGGAGAGGGAGCUUUUACAGAAAAGAUGAGUGAAAUUUGUGUCACUCCAUCCCCUAUUUAUAGUACGCAGAAGACCUAAUUUAUUCCUAUCUAAAUUUUAAAAGAUAAAUAAAGAUAAAAGCUAAAAUUAAAUCUAAAUAAUAAUCUUAACAGUAAUCCUAAUAUAAUUAAAAUUUAAAUAGAGUAGUGUGUUUAUAAAAUCUCUUCUUUGAACUGUUGCCCCCAAGUCUUCCACACUUCGCAUUUUCGGCACCACUUCUUUCCUAUUUUGCAUACUAUCCCAUUUUAUCUUUAAAUUUACGCUUUUUGCCACUAAAUUUUCUUUUGCCUUCAAUUUAGUCCCUACAAGAUAAAAAACCAUAAAUAACUCAAAUUAGUAAGAUCAUACUCAAAAUAAAUAUGUAAUUAAUACAUAAAAAUAUGUCAUUCCAGAGUAUUAUCAAUAAGAGUUAAUUGCACCAAAAAUUUUAAACGUUCUAAUUAUGUCUCCACACUAUCAAUGUUAUACUAAUGAGGUGCUUUCGUCACUAAAAUCAUUAAUUUAAUUGUCAAAUGAGACGUCAGAUCUUCUGUGAUAUAAUCUAAAAUGAAAAAUUUAAAGAAAAAUGAAUAUUGUAAAAAUGGAUGUGGUAAAAAGCUUUUACAGAAACUAUUGUUCACUCUAUCUUUUUUUGGUUUUACUUUAUUUUUAGUUUUUAAUUUUAAAAAUUAUGCGGUAACGUUUUAUUUUUCUUUUAAAUUUUUAUCUUAAAUUAUGUUAUAUAAAAUUUUACGUGUCAUUUAAUUGUUAAAUUAACAGUUUCAAAAUAAGAAGAAUCUGAUUGAUAUAAUAUCAAUAAUUUAAGAAUAUAAUUAAAAUAUUUUAAAGUUAAAAGACUAAUCUAAAAUAAGAAUUAUAGUUUGGGUAUGUAUCAAGCAAUUAACUCAAUAAAUAAAUGUGAGUGGCAGUCAUUUACAUCAAUAUGUUAUAUAAGUGGGUUUGGCAUCAUAUCUUAUAUGUUAUUUUCACAUUUAUUUAUUUAUCUUAUUUAUUUUAUUUUUAAAAUAUGAGAUUCUAGUAGGGUUUGUGAAAAAUUGUCCUUUAGGUAAUUUUUUUUUUAAAUGUUAACUCUCCCUUGAAAAAUAAGAAAAUUUAUUUUUUGGCUCAUUUAAAAGGAAUAUAAAAAUUAGGAGCAUGUGUGAUCAAAUAUGUUUGAUUACAUUUUUUAUAUAAUAUUAAGAGUAAGGGAUGAUAAAAGUUAUACAAUAUCUUAAUAAUAACAACAAAAUUGUAACAACAUAAUAAUAAAAUAGUAACAAAGUAGUGAAAAAUAACAAGAAAAUAGUAUAAAAGAAAAAAGAAAACAAUAAAGUUUUGCAUAUUCAGGCUAGGCUAGACAAAAAAGGCUUAUCUAAGACUUGACUCGUUUUCUAAAUGGAUCUUAUUUUUUUAUCCUAAAAUUUAUUAUUCAGAAAAUAAAAUGAAAUUUUCAUCUCUUUUCUUCCUUUGUUGUCCAACUAAAUUGCUAGGUGGGGAUAUUUAAUUUUUGAGGUUUUUGACAUAUUUUGGUGAGGAUUUAGAUGUUUUUAGGUAAGGUUUGGGUUGAAACUUGCUAGGAUUUAUUGAGUUUUAGAGAAGCAAAGAGAGUCUCAUUGUAUUGAAUGCGUCUACAUUAAUUGAUUUAAGAGUUUUGAUGUUUAAUUAUUGUUGUUAAAAGUGGUAGAAGAGUAAUCGAAUUUGUAGUGAAUGUUGGAUACGAAUAUACGUAGAACAUGAAUAAAUUUGAAGAUUAUACCUCUUUGUUCAUGGAACAGAUUUGUGCUAAUAAUCAUUCAUUAAUCAGACAAAGUCCAUAGACAUGGCCAUUCUAUCAUGGUAUACAAUGAGGCGGAGACAGACAUGCAACACGCCACCAAUUAUUCAACUUAAUUUAAUUAUGGACUAAAACAUCGUGCAGUUCUAUAUAUGUCUGCUUAAUGAUUGCCACAUGUGCAGUUUGUGCAGCUGCAGCUAGUUCCACACUUGCACUUGCCAUCGUUCUCUGCCACAGCCUCGACCACUACAGUGCUGAUGUAGCUGCACAAGAAUAACACAACAGAUUAUGUUUAGCAUAUGUAAAAGCAACUUUAAA